rnacentral:lncRNA from 1 species
UGCAUCAUAGUAAAUUACUCUCUCUCUCUCUCUGAACUCUCAAAGUUUCGCCCCUUUCUCAAUUGCUUUCCCUUUGUGAUCUAUCGAUAGUUUCAGAAACGAAGAUCUCUCAUCUGAAUCGGAGAUCUUUCAUCUUUCUCCGUCGAUGCCGAUGAUUGAAGAUUAUAUCAAUCUGAGGUGAAAACGGAAUUGAUGUUCCAGAAACGGAUUCUUGGCUGCCGAAUCUAAAUCAGAGGACUCUCAUCUUUCUCCGUUGAUGCCGACGACUGAAGAUUCUAUGAAUCUGAGGUGGAAACGGAAUCGAUGGUUCCAGAAACGGAUUCUUGGCUGCCGGAUCUGAAUCGGAGAACUCUCAUCUUUCUCCGUUGAUGCCGAUGACUGAAGAUUCUAUGAAUCUGAGGUGGAAAUCGAUUGUUCCAUAAGCAAUUCGUCACCGACAGAAUUGCACGUCCUCCGCCUGCCGCCGUAAACCUCCUCCUCCGCCAUUCCCUGGAGAGACAUGCUGCCUCCGCCGUUGUUCUCGUAAACCUUCUUCGCCGCUUCGACAAACAGUUCCACCCGCGGCGCUAGGCGAUUCGCCGGAUCCGAUGGUUCUAGAAAAUGAUUCGUGGCUGCCGAAACUUAAUCGGCCUCUCAGGUGAUUUCGUUCUGAAUUCUAUAUUUAUAAGUUUGGGGGCUGGUGAUGCCAAUAUUGUGAUUUAAUCAACUUCUAUAUUUAUAAGUUUGGGGGCUGGUGAUGCCAAUAUUGUGAUUUAAUUGACGGAAAAACUAAACCAAAUAAACUGAGUUUACAUUUCAAACAACUCUAAAAUUCCUAUACAUUGUUUGUCACUGUAAACCCUUAACAAAAAACUGAAAUAGAGAUAAACUACUUGCUUAAGUCAAGUUGUUGAAGUCCUACCAGUAGGCUCUCGGCUGUGUUGCUUGUAUCUUCCCCACUUUCUUGCAAAUAUAGGUAGUUUAAGCUUUCAUGCACAAGCUGAUCAUCCACUUCUAAGCAUUCAGGUAGUAUUCCCAGCCUUUCCAGUUUCUCUUUGCUCAUAUGAGGGAUCUUAUAAUUGUUGCCUCUCUAAAUUUUCAUAGUCUCUAUGUAGCACCCUUGCAAUGAUAGAAACACAUGGUUUAUCUUUGUUGGUGGAUACUCAUCAAAUGCAUCUUUCACAUUCUUGAGCAAGUCUUCUACCCCAUUAGCUGGCUUCUUAUCUUUCAGUGAUUGUGUAGCCCUAAAAAAUCCUAGAUCGUUGACAUUAGUAUCCGGAGAGUUUGCUGGUUGACAAAUUAGUUGAAUGUUGAAUCCAUCAGAGGUGGCAGCUUGUAUGAAAUCUGGAUCAUCCCCCUUUAUAUGUGGUUUAACAUUAUCCUGUUGUAUGAAUAUAUGUUUGCUCAUUCCAGCUGGCCACUUAGCUUUAAUGAUUGGAAUCAUCUGCAUACAGGUUGGUUUUAUAAACACUAAAUGAUGAAAUAACAUUCUGAUAGUAAGAAAGAUGACAUGAAACUGACUUGAUUGAUGAAGCAAUCCUUCGUGAUUGCUCUUGUGAUAGCUUGAAUUGGUUUUGUUUCUAUGGUGCGUUUCAAUCUGUUCUUAGAGUUUAUUUGAGCUGGCUCCUCAGUUAUGAAUGGAAAUAUACCAAUUUUGCCAUCAAAAAAUGCAAUUUCCAUUGCUAUCGAAUAUUGGUCUUGAAACAGCAGCUAAGAACAUGAUUUUCUCAAUGUGUCUUUUUGAUUUGCAUGUCCUAUAUGGCUCUAUCUCAUUUGGUAAAAGGUAAUAUCUGCCACUUGUCUUAGUCAAAUUAAACCACUUUUCAUCUACAUGUAUUAUGUUAUACAUUGUCUGAAAUCUGAAUUUUCCACCUUCACUUAAUGGAUUGAGCUGACAUAGGCUCAUCUAAGCUACACAGCAUAUUUUGGGGUGUGAGGAAUGGCUUGAUUGCAUUAGUGUGUGGCUUUAACUUAUGUUCCUUAACCCACGGAUGGAUCAAGCUCUUACUCACACCUAUCUUACUUGACAUGAUUCUGAGGGAAGGUCUCUCUAAAACUGACAAUGUUUUAAUUCUCUCUACAUCAAGUACCUUUUUUGUCUGCAUGUUUUGAUCCCUUCUUCAUUGAAAUCACAUGAAUAGGUCUUCCCAAAGCUUGUUGAGCAGCUGCUGAUUUCCAAAUGCGCCAGAUUGUCUUGACAUCAACUAGGAACUUUUGUGCCGCCUCCUUUUUUGCUCCAUGAAUCAGAUUUCCUUCUCUGCUGUGUUGUAAGAGCCACUGUCCAAUGUUGUUCCUCUCUUCAUUUGAUAAAUUUCGUUUACUAGACAUGCUGUAGAAGGAGGAUAGAUUUCCUUUGUUUGUAAUGGAAAGAAUUCUGGGUCAGAUUCUUUUAUAAAGGAGGUUAGGUGGGGUUUGAGCUUCCCUCCAAUAAAAAUACACUUUGUGUGCUUUUUGGCUCCAAAUUUGUGUGGUUUCCCACAUUUAUUUCAGAUUUUGGAAUUAAUAAAAAUGCAGUUGAUUAUGUAUAGCUCAAAAAUAGUCUUUUACAUUAAAAUAAGCAAUUAAAAAAACACGAUUCUCUCAUUAAUUUCAAUCUUAAAAUCGGACUCAAUAAAGAGUAGGAUUGUUUAAAUUCUCAAAGACAAAAAUAUUAACAAACUAAUCAAUGUUAUUAGCACUAUCCUUAUUGUAAUUUUUAUCCCACUCAAAACAACUUUAUCAAUUUUCUUAGUACUCGUGCCAGCACCCAAAUAGGGGCACUAUUUUGUGGACGGAGAGAAUAUUAUUUUCAUGAUGCACAGAAGAUUAAGAACAACUUUUACUUUUCAAAACCAUAAACCUGUAAAGUCGGGAGGGGGAUGGGUUACAUUGUUGGGAGAUAAAACGUGAGGGAGAAGGUGUACUGCCGAAGCUCUGCUGCCCACGGCGACGGCGGCUCCGGGAGAGGCGGCUGCCGGUUCUCGCUGCCAACAGCAGCGGCCGGCGGCGGCGCUCCUCCAGCGAGCCGCUGACCGUCGAUCACAAGCAGCAGCUAGCGGCAGACGGCGACGACCUCGACUCCAGGCGAAGCAGCAGCAGCUCCGGGCGCGGCGUUGCUUCAGCAGCGGCGGCUUCACUGGGCGAUUGCAGACGGAGCAGGACGACGGCCGUACGCCGGACCCUCGCCGGCCUCAGGCGACGGCGGCAUAAGCGAAGAGAGAAAGAGAGUUAGAGAGGCGUGCGUUCUCUUUGUGUGUGUGCGUGAAAUCUGUGAGAAGAAGAGAGAGAGAGGAUCGUGAGGCAAUAAGAGAGAGAUGGAAGGGUAUUUUUUUAAUUGGGCUCCAUUCUUGGGCCAAGUUUUUUCAACUAAACUGAUUUGGGCCUCUUAAAUUGGACUGAUUUUUCUAAGAAAAUAUUUAUUGGGCUCGUUAAUUGGGAUUAUACUUUUCUCUUCUCUUCUCUUCUACUUUUCUCUCUACUUUCAACAAUAAAAUGAUUUUUCGUCGAAUUUCAAUGGGUUACACACUAGUUGAGAAUAAAGUAGUAUGGAUAAUUCUAUUCAUAGCCCCCAUUUUACUUAUUGUAGCCUCUAUUUAUGAAAAUUAUAAAAAAAUAAUUAUAAAUCUACUUUUAUAUCCUAUUAGUUCAUACCCCCCAUUAAUAAUGAUUCUCACAUAGACGCAGCCACUCCAAAAUCUUGCCACACAUUGUUCCACUCUACGGGUUUUCAUUCUCAUUCAAUCUCACUUUUCGGUUUCUCUAUUUCUAGCCAUGGAGCCAUUUAAAAAACAGAAGAAAGAAAGGCACAUAAAUGACAGUUCGUGGCUCAAAUAUUUUUUAUUUCUCAAACCUUAACAUGUGCGGUCCAGCCAAUUCAAGCAAUUUCUGGGAUGGCAUGAGUAAGACAAGAAGAUUUCAAGUGGCGAAUGCUCAAGCAGAUGGGCCAGCAUCAACUGCGCCCAAGGCGUGAGUGAAGGAAUCGUGGGCAUCGACUUCCAUUAAUGCUACGAGGAAUCCGUCGUGACUUAUCAUAUUUGGGAUCUCAAAUGAAAUUUCCCCUCUCCCGAACAAGAAUUCUAAACCCUUCAGACAGCAUCGCCACUAGCGGGCCUACAAUUAUGUAGUAAUAGUAAUCAUUCGCCAUAAAUUCAGUAGCAUUCGAUAUCAGCCCCAGAUGCGCUGAACCUGCAAUACACAACACCAAGAACAAAUAAUUAGAAAAUUUACAGAAUUGAUCGAAUAAAUUAGAGGUGAUGUUGGUCAAUUUGCAGAGAAUGUGAAAAAACUACGUAACCACAUCUACAGAAUCGAUCGGAUAAAAUGGUAAAUUUAAAAAUAAUUUUCAUUAUUUUAUAAAAUGAGGAACUGUAGUGAGUAAAAUGGAGGCUAUGAAUAGAGUCACUCAAGUAGUAUAAAUAAACUAAAUCAAUAGCCCAAAAGAUAUAAGCCCAUAUUAAAUAAAAUUAAUAACAAUAAAAAUAAAGAAUCCUACUUUUGGAUCAGAACGCAACGCCGCGCCGCUAUUCUUCUUCACGAAAAAUUUCUCCCUCAAGCUGCUGCUUCUUCUUCUUCAUUUCUCGUCGGCGCUUUUGAACGUUAAACACACUACGUCAUGUCCGCCGCCGCCAGAACAGUCUUCCGUUCCGCCUCUACAUCCGCUCGCAGUGCCACGGCGAGACUAUCCGCCUCCAUUUUCAGGUUCCUCUCUACUCGCUUAGCCUUACAUCCGUAUUUCCAAAAUAAUGGCACUUUCAUUCCCAGAUCUGAGAAAUUGACACCUAAAUCAUUACACGGAUCAGGUCUCCUGUAGAGACGAGCAGUUUUAGCGAUGCUUCGAUUUCGCCGCACCGCGGUCAAUUCGGGAAUGUAGAUGGAAGAAACUUCUCAACGAAGACGAGGAGAUUUCGAUUUCAGCGCAGAAUCGAUCUGAAACGAAGCACUUCGGCCACUGGAAUCGUGGAAAGGAUAGAGUACGAUCCUAAUCGAACUUCUCGGAUUGCUCUAGUACGAUGGGAAGGCGGAGAACUCCAGAGAAAAUCCAACGCGGCGGAGGAUUUCACGCUGCCAGCGAAGAGUCUCGAAUCCACUGCCGCUCCCGCCAGCGGCGCGUUCGCCUUCUCCUCCCUGCCGGGGUUGGUGGAUGACAGAAGCGCAGAUUACUCCUCUAUUGGAGGAAAGAAACAAACUACGAAGUCUAAAUAUGCAACGGUUGGAGUGCCUUCUUCGUCGAAGAGCCGCUUCACUAGUGAAGGUUCAGGGAGCAAAAUAACUAGUGCGAAGGAUGUUUUCGUCUCUGCUUUCUCCACAAAGGCCAAGGGAGAGAAUGCAGGUAGCUCUGAUGGUUUCCCAAGGAUAGCGGUAGCUGGGUCGAGGCCGACUUUCUUCGUCUUAGGAGAGAAAGAGGAAGUAGGAGGGAAGGACACGUUCUCUCUUGGAGAGGUGCAGAAGUGGAAGAAGGAUAGCAGUCGAUGGAUGCAUAGGAUCAAGCGUAAAGGGGCAGUUUCUUGGUCUAGUAUGAUGAGGCAAGAGAAAUUAGGGCUUAAGGGGUUGAAGCCGAGGAAUGGUGGCAAGGCGGCGAAGAAUGGGAAGCUCGGUGAUGAUCGUGUUCCUGUCACUUACAUCAUAGCCAGUCAUCAAUUGGCAGAGGGCAACUUGGUGAUGAAUUGGUCCGGAGCUGCGACUAGCAGCUCAUCUCAAUAUGCCCAGUAUGGUAAUAGAUACUAACUUUGAUUGCAGAUUGAGAGCUGAGUAGAAGAAUAACAAAUCCAAAUUCUAUUUGUGCUUUGACCUUAGUGUUCUGGUUGAACCUAUCUUUAUAUGCUAGUUAUAUACAAUGUUUUAGCAGUUCCUUAUUGCCUUUGUGUUACCAUUUCUUGAAUGCCUUUUAAUGGCGUUGGAUGGUUUGGCAUUCUGAUCAAUCGAUACUGCUAAGGGAAAUGUGAAAUGAUUUGCGGGUUUCCUGUUGAUCUUUUCAGGAUGAUAAUUCUUGAAUCAUCCAUACAAGUAUCGGUGCAUUAGAUUUUAUGUUUUUAGAGUUGUUUUAAAUGGCAUUAGCUUCCAUCCAUUUUCGGUUAUUUUAGUAUUCUAACCAUGUUUAUGAAAUUGGUUCAACAAGGUUUAUAUCACAUUUUUCUUUUCCUUUCUCCUAUCAUUUUGUUAACUUAAGUUUUUUGUGGAUCUUUUUUUUAACGUCAAUUUCCAGUGAUGAUAUAUGAUUAUUGCUUGAUAGAAGCAACUGUCUUGAACUUAAAAUAGUAGGAUCUACCCUAUAAUGAUUUACAUUUUCCAAGUAAGAAGAGAAUGCCAUGCAUAACUUUUGAUUAGAGGUGAACAUUUCGGGCGGUUCGGUCUGAAACCGAACCAAAUCCAAAAAACACGACCCUGAAUUAUCAGUAAAAUUUCAACCCGAACCAAAUCGUUUGUAGGGCCAAACUUGAACCAAACCAACUCGUAAAUUUUCAGUUUGAUUUUAUUCUAGUUGGCUAAAACUGUUUGUCAGUGUCUUAUCCUCAAACUCAAACACACAAUUGCAGCAGAGUGGCAAGGCUGCGGCGCCACUGGAGUGUGAACCUUGGGGCACCGGCGUACCGCGACAAAGAGACCGAGAAGGCGCCAUGACAAAGGUGAAUAAGCUCGCAAAUGGUAGCAAGAGGGGUGAGGCUGGGGUGGGGCCAAGGGGGCGAUGCUGGGGCGGAGCCAACGCUGGGGAGGGGCUCUCGCAUGUGGCGACGUGCGGUGGAAUAGAGCAAGAGGCGCACGGGGGUAAAAUUGAGAUUGGACUUUUGAGAAUGAAAGUAAUGAGAAUUGUGGCGCACAUUUGAAAUGUGGAGAUAACAUAAACCUUAGCUAAUCUAAAUAGUUGAAAAUUUAUAUAUUUAUUAAUAAUAAUUAUUCAAGCGGGUUCGGGUUGAAAAUUGCAUCACUUUUUUAAUUGCAAACUCAAAAAGAACAAUUUUCAAUUUUUUUUAAAUCGAAUUGCACCAUUUAAUUAAUAAAAAGCGAAGCAAAUCACCAUUUUAGUUUGAUUUAGUUCGAUUUGGCAGUUUUGGUUCAAGUUUGCUUAUCCUACUUUCAAUGGCAUAGGCUUAUAUGGAAAGUGAAAGCUUCUAAAAAGUAAGGGAAAUGGUAUAACUUUGGAGGAUUUUUAUUUCCCUAAUCAAAAGUUGGUAUUAUGAAUUUAUGAUCACUUGUAUUUGUCAUUUGGGCUAUGAGAAUCUUGAAGUUGUGUGUGAUCUUAAAUUUUAUGGAUUAUAAUUUAAUUUUGAAGUAGAAAAAUUGGAUCCAGAAAAUGAAAACUAAAAAACUAAAAAAUUUGGGCAGUAUAAUUAACUUCUAUUUUUUUAGAUUGUUAUUAGAAUUAAGUUAAAAAAAACUUUGUACAAAAAAAAAAAGAGUUGGUCUCCAAUGAGGUCGGUUGUACCAUGCGGACCGGGUUGAUUCGUGCAUGUCCACGUUUUUCCAUACUCUAUUCAGUUAUUUUAUGUAAAUGAUACUUAACUAAUGAUAAAUAAUACUCCCUCCGUCCCGUCGAGCUUGAGACGUUUCUUUUGGGCACGAGAAUUAAGAAGUUGUAGAUUAGUGUUUUAAGUGUAUAGUUAUAAAAGUGAUAAAGUAUAAGAGAGAAGGUAAUAAAGUGAUAAAGUAAGAGAGAGAAGAUAAUAAGAGGUGCAAUUAGUUUUAUAAAUUAGUGCUUUAAAUUGCCUAAUUUUUGUCAAAAAAAGAAAUGACUCAAGUUCGGCGGGACAGCCCGAAAAAGAAUACGACUCAAACUCGGUGGGACGGAGGGAGUACUACUGUUAUUAAAAUAAAUGAUAGUUUUAUCAAUAAUACAUAUAAAAUAUGAAUAAAAUUAUAUUUUUCUUGACAAUAAUUUAUAUUUUUCUUAAAUGCAAAUGAUAUAUCUUUUUCUAUAAAAGUCUAUUCGUCCACAAAGUCUAUUCAUAUUCGUUUUUCUUGUUUUGUUCUUAUUCUUGUUUUUGAACUUUAUCUUACUUUUAUUUUUGGGCUUAAUUGUUGUAAAACAUGUGUUAGAUGAAAAUAUGUGAUAGGGUUUAUGAUAAUACAUAUUGUUGGAUGAAUUAUUUUGAAUCACGUCUGGAUUUGUAUGAAAGGUUUGAACUUGACUCAAUGAGUUAAAUAUGUGCCUCAUAGAACUUGAAAAUGAGUUUGUAAGAAAAUAAAUCACGGGUCUAUUAUAGCCAUUUUGUAAUUUUGAUCUCACUUUCUAACCUUUUAAAAUAUAUAUUGAAUAUUUUUAAAUAUUGCAAUUGAGGCUUCUCCAGUCUUUUAGACGAUUAGAAAGAUGAUGCAAACACAACCACGAAGGGCACCCACUAUGGGGGGGAGUGCGCACCAGGCCAGUGCCCUCCCCCCCCAUUGCCGUCCGCACCAGCCCCUUCUCCGCGCACCAGGUGCAGACGAAUUUUUGAGUCAAUUAAAAAAAAUAAUAAUAAAUAAAAUAAAAAACUUAUCGUUCCCAGCAGCAGUGUACCGUUUCUUUAUAUUUGAGAAAUAGUGGUUCAACGGUUAUUUCCAACUUUACCUCUUUUUUUCCCCUCUAUAAAUACCACAUUUUCCCCCUAUUUCCCAUUCACUAUUAUUCUAUUCUCUCCUCUCUAUUCACAAGUGCAAAAAAUAGAGUUAAUUGUCUGUAAAUACACAAAGUAUACUCAGAUUUUGGUUUUUAGCCAACACUUUUUUUUUGGUCAAUUAAUACAUAAUCUUUGAACUUUUUGCCGAAAAAAAAAAUCCGAUCAAAUUUAAUCCGACAUGGAUUUCGGAAUUUUCCUGUGUGAACUUUUUUUAUACAACUUCUAUGAUAUGGCAAUUUUAAUUUAAAUUGUAGUAUUAUUUUAAAGCACCUUUCUCUCCUUCUUUUCUAAUUCUUCUUUUUUCCUUUCCUUUUUUUUUUCUUCUUCUUUUUUAAAAGAGAACGCUUUUGAAAUAUAUAUUUUGAAAAAGGAAACACAAUAUUUGUCCACUAAUUGAAAAAACACAAAAUUUGGUCAUUUAUUACGUGUGAAGACUAUUUUGCCAUUAAUUAGGGGUGACCGGAUUCGGGUCGAAUUCGGAUUUGCGUGCGAGUUAAGCACAUAUGGCACUAAUAGUGCCAUGUGGGUUAGGCACACAUGACACUAUCAGUGCCAUGUGUGCCUAACCCGCACGCAAACCCGAAUUCGACCCUGAAUUUGGUCCGUCCUAAUUAAGGACAAAACAGUCCUAAAACGUAAAAAAUGGCCAGAUUUUGUGCUUUUUCCAUUAGUGGCCAAAUAUUGUGUUUCUUUCUUCAAAAUAGUCAUGUGAAUAUGUUAUUUCUUUUUUAAAACCGUUUUCAUCUUCUCUUCAAUGCCAACUCAUCUGCAAUAGCUUGAAUUUUUCAAGUUUUUCAUGUAUUUGAUUGAAACCAUGUUGUCGAUUUUGUACUUGCCCACACUAAAUCAUAAGUAAUUUUGUGAUAGGGUCUUUAAAUUUUUUUAUGAAUGGAUCUUCGAAAUUCUCUAAGAAUUUGGAUUCAUAGUGAAUGGGUCUUUGUUUGAAAUUUUAUUAUUUUAGUUUUCGUGAAAUUCAUAGUGAAUGGGUAUUUGAAAUUUCUACAUAAUAAUGUGGAAUAGGUCAUCUUGAUUUGUGUGGGAUAGCUCAUAGUGAAUGGGUAUUGAAAAUUUCUACUGAAUGGGCACUACUCUGAAAAUUUCUACAAAUAAGCGUUGAUUUGGAAUGUCGUUAAUAUGUGGAAUAGCAGUAAUUGUUGUUGUGUAACAAAUUAACCUCUUAUAAUUUGUCCAAUUUAAUGGGAAUUUAGCAGCAACAUACUAUUGUCUAAUUGUCUGAAGUGGUGGGCUGCCAUUCUGUUUAUCAGCAACCAUUCAACCAUCCAACCAUCUUCAAUAUUUAAUUAAUUUCUCUCUCUUCCACAUCACUAAUAUUCAUCUCAACCCAACCACCUAUAUUUUUGUUGAUUUAUCAAUGACCACCUCAACCACUCAACCACAACAUUAUAUAUAAUUAUUUUAUUAUUAUUUUUAAUCGUAAUAAUUUUAGUAAUAUUAAACCUAAAUUAAAAUAUUACAAAAAAAUUAAAAUGAAAAAAAUAAUAAACUAAUAAAAAUUAAAUUACGACAAACUAAAAAUAUAAAUUACAACAAUCCAAACUCAAAAUAGAAAAAAAUUAUUGUCUCUAUCCAUUGAAAAAUAGAGAAAGAAAAUCUAUGUGUUAUAUGUAGAGAGGAAAAAUUGAAGAAUUUCAAGGUGUAUUGAAAUAUGGCAAGAGUGGUCUCUAUUUAUAGAGAAUGAAAAAACAUAAAUUUUGGUAUUUUUAUUUUUAUUUUUAAAUAUUUUAUAUAAAAAAUAUAAUAGUUUUAUCUAUUUAUCUAAGUAAAAUUUUUAAAUCAAUACAACAUAGACAAGUGGCAAAGUACAAUUGGUGUAGAGUGGAGGAAAGAGAGAGACCAUGGUGGUCUCUUAUUUUGGGUGGUCGACCGCAUGCAAUUCCAAGCAUUUCAUUUUUUAUUUAUUUUUAAUUGUCUAUCCUACAUGGAGGUAAUGUCGCCCCAUUAGCACGAUAAAGGCAGUCUAAAGAGCAAGCUGCAGUAAAUAGCUGCCAAUCAAUGGGUUCUGGUUCCUACAUAUUUGUACAUAUUAAGUCCUACAACUAGGAAAUAGUUACAUUGUAUCGCCACUUGGUCCCUGAUUUGAAUAAUAAGGUGCAAGGAAACUUCCACCCAUUUAGGUAAAGAUCAAUAUCACUGUCAAUAUAGGUUAGUUUGUAAUACUAUUUGGACAAAAAUCACAGGAACAUCAGGUAAUUUAUUGAAAAAAGUUGAUACAAAGCCAAAACUAAAAGUAUCAAUGAUCCAAAAUAUCAAAAUUUCUUCUCAAAACUUUUACUCAAUAGCAAUAUAUAUCCACCAAAAGUAAGACACCAAUAAUUCUGUAAACACCAUCACUGCCAAAAAAAUGCAGUCUUUAAUCUGCACAAACCAGAGCCAUUGUUUGCUUCACAGCAAAAUGCAGUCUAUAAUCUGCACAACCUUCUAAAAUAAUACUACAAUUUAAAUUAAAAUUGUCAUGUCAUAGAAGUUGUAUCAAAAAAGUCCACAUAGGAAAAUUCCAAUGUCCACGUCGGAUUAAAUUUGACCGAAAUUUUUUUUCAAGCUAAAUUCCGAAAAGUUCAAAGAUUAUGUACUAAUUAACCAAAAAAAAGUACUGUUGGUUAAAAACCAAAAUUUGAGUAUACUUUGUGUAUUUACAAGCAAUUAACCCCCAAAAAAUGCCAUCUUCAACAAUUCUUCGUCGAAUUAAUCAUCUGAUGAAGAAGUGUCGAACCAAGAUUAUCUUCAAUUUCUUGAUCCAAAUGUCAAUCCCAGAUUAUUUUUCAUGCAUCUUGCUUCCAAUUUCUUACAAGUGCGAGUACUUUUAAAUUUGAUCCUCCGCCUCAACUAAAGAGGAAGCGUCGAGUUAUUCGCCGUGAUCAUGAAGGCGGUGGCAAUCGCUUUUAUCGGGAUUAUUUUACUCCCAAUAUGGCCCUCAGUUUUUCGCAUGAGCCAUGAGUUAUUUCUAUGCAUUGUCAAUGCACUAGAAGUCCAUUCUUCCAACAACGCGCCGACACUUGUGGCCGCGUUGGAUUCUCACCGAUCCAGAAGUGCACAACGACGAUUCGACAACUGGUGUACGGUACUAACGUUGAUUGCUGCGACGAAUAUCGUUGUGAAUAUCUCGUUUAUGGAAGAAAGAGAAUAUGAGCAGUAUCAUGUUUACGUGCAUCAUUUUGCAUAACAUGAUAAUCGGGGAUGAAGUGGCGGGCGCAGUCGAGGCUGGCGGGGAGGAAUCAAACAGCGGUCCUUAAACAGAGUUCAAUACCGGAGCACCAUCGGAAUUCGCCGCCUAUAUGGCCCGAAGCUCAAACCUCAAGGACAAUUGUUGCAAGCUUGCCUCCGCGACGAUUUAGUCAAGCAUAUAUGGGCACGCUUUGGUUCCGUCGAGCCAUAAGUCGUAGAUUUAAUUUUCUCAAAAUUAUUGUAAUGUUUAUUUUCUCAUUUUUUUUAUUAAUGUAAUGUUUGAUUUUUAUUUUAAUGAAAUUUAAGAUGUUAAAUUUAAUGUUAGUUUUAAUUAAAAAUAACAUUAAAAUUAAAUACAAAAUAAAAAUAAAAUUUUAUGAGUUGGGGUAUUGACUCUCCCAUAAUGGAUGAUGUGCUCUUAAAUGGUAGGCAUCACAUUUAAGAGCCCACCUUAGCUCUCUAUUGUGGAUGUUUUAACCAAGAUUUGAUAAAGAAUGAGUAAAGCCACAUCGUUUAGUGUGCAAUUAAGCACAAAAUGACAAUAUUAACUUAGGGUGGAACCGAAAGGCAGAAAAAAUAACGGGUAACUUUGCGAGAAAAGAGAGCAUAAAAAAACAAUUUAUAACAUGAAUAUGGAGAAACUAUUGUGUUAUUCAACUUCAGUCCUCAUUAUUGAAUUAAUAAAUGUAUUAGUAUAAUAAAUUGAAUGAGUAUUCAAUUAAAAGUAUCUUUGUUGCCAAAAAUUUAGAAAUUAGUAAAUUUAGAAAAAAUUAAAAACAUAUGUAUAUAUAUUUGAAAAAUAAUAUAUGAGAAGUCAAUCCACCCAUNAAAUAUCACUACAUAUAUUAAAUAUCUAUGUAUAAAUAUUAUAUCUAAAAAAAUAUCAACAUGACAAUUAUACAUUUUAUAAUUUAUGAGAGUUAAUUUCUGUGUAUAAGAGGACUGAUUUAGUCUAAUCAUAGCAGUAUUAAAUUAUAAAUGGUUAGUUUAAUUUAUGAUUAAUUAUCAAAUAUUGAGAUUCGAUAUUAUUGUGGACAAAAGCAUAAAGAAAAAGCUUUUGGUAGGACCUUAUAAUUAGAACUGUCAAAAUCGACCCGACCCAUCGGGAAGGCUCGAUCAACCCGACUUUAGGGUUGGGUUGGUUGGGCUUUAAAAAAUGAGAUAUGGAAAAAAUCGAGCCUAAAAAGCUCGUCCCGUCGGCUGAUCGGGCUUUCUGGCUAAAAGGCCCGAGAUUUUCGGGCUUGUUGGUCCGCCCGAAAUAAAUUAAUUAUUAUUUAAAUUAUAUAUUAAAAAAGUCAUAAAAUAUAAUUAAAGUCUAAAAAUAACAAAAAAACCCUAAUUGAAAUUGAUGUAUGCGUUGGAGCGUAUGUUUCUUUCUUCUUCGCUUCUCCUAGCAAUCUAAAUCGCCGCUGCCGCGCCGCCGCCAACGCCACCGUCGACCGCUGCUCGCCCGCCAAGCUUCAGCGCCAUCGUCGACCGAAAGAAUAGUCGGUGAGUUUUUAGGAUUAUCUUUCAAAAUUGAUGUAGGAUUACAAGAAUCUUUAUUUACCUUUUGCCUUACACGAAUUCUGAUGUGAUUAAUGGGCUUGGGGUUGAAAAAAUCGAACCAAUUUUAUAAUCUGUGUCCAAACCAUAGCCAACCAAUAGUGUGGAGGGCAAAUAGGGAAAAUCGGGAGAAGUUGGUGUGGAACGAAAAGUUUUGGUAUUUGGCUAUGCCUAAACCUAGUGCUGUCUAAAUGGUUAACGGGUUUUGAGUAUCCAAUUAACCGAACCGAAAUUCUCGGGUUUGGGUAUUCAAUAACCGAAAAUUUUGGUUAACGGGUCGGUUUCGGUUAUCAUUUUUUUGGAAAUUUCGGGUAUGUCGGGUUAACCGAAUAACCGAUAAAUUAUUUACUUAAUAAUUUAAUAUAUAUAUAUUUUAAUUAUAAUAAUUAUUUAAAAAUUAAAACAGUUGCCCUAAUUUUUAAUGUGAAACGUGAAAUUUGUGAUUCUCUUUCCCUACCCUACCAGCCCUCCUCGCUGCUGCACAACCCAGCCGCACCCUCUCUUCUCUAUAUCGUCACCCGGCGACGCCGUCAACCGCCGCCCUCCGUCCGCCGCUGCAAGUCCCCCGUGCGGCUGCCCUCUUGCGAGUGACGUCGCCCGUUUCGCCACGACUCUGCCGCCCCGCUCCAGCCAGGCUCCGCCGCUUCGCCACAGCUCUGUCGCUCCGCUCUCGCCAGGCUCCGCCGCCCCGCUCCCGGCAGACUCCGUCCGCCGCCCAUUGCUCAGUGCACACGGUAAAAUCGUAUCAAAAAAGAGUUUUUCUUUUCUCCUCUACAUAUCAAAAAAGAAACUUUCAAUUUCUCAGGUGGGCUGUUUACUAGCAGCAUCUGCUACCAAUGUUGCUUAAUGUAUAUACCAACUUUUACUUUUCUUAAUACGGGAUGGUCGUGGAACGAGUUUGGAAUGAGCUUCAGAGUAAUAAUGUAACAUAAUGGAAUAAUCCCGUGGUCAUUUGGCUAAUGAAAAGAAGAACAAUCUGAUGUUCAAGAACAUAGGAAAUAAUUUGACAUUCCACGAGAAAUAUAGAAAUAGGAAUUCCAUACAAGUGAAAUAAGCUAACUCACCCACUUAUGCAUCAUAUAAUUCUGCAUUUCGAGCUGAUUCUGCAUUUCGUGUUGAUUGUUUGAAGCUGGUUUUAUCAAAGUUGUUUUAUGCUCUAAAUCUACUCGAAUUUUUGAGCUUGAAUUUUAUUUUUUAAAUGGUUAUUUCGGAUACCCAAAUAACCCAAUUGGUUAACCGAAGCGGGUAUUGGGUAACCGAACUCCUAAAACGGUUCGGGAACGGUUAUUGAAAUUUGGCAAUUUCGGGUUCGGGUAACCGAACCCGAACCGAUCGACAGCCCUACCUAAACCCAUGCCAAAGCCCUAACCCCUCUCUCUCUCUUACUCUCAAAAUUCAAUCUUCACAGACUUUCUAUAGUCAAUAAGCACACCAUGGCCGCCUUCGCCGCCAGAUCAGCCCUUCGCUCCGCCGCCCGUAGCGCCACCGCCAGAAUAUCCCCCGGCCUCAAGCCUAGGGCUGCUCCCUCUCCAUUUCGCAUCUCAUCUCAAAGUCCGCUCUCCGCUCGCAUUUUCAGGUUCCACUGCCGCAUUAGGGCUUUCACCCAUUCCCUUUUCAAUUCUUAUUUUGUGAAUUGCUGAUUAAUUAUUGUUUAAAUUUAGGUCUCCCGUAGAGAUGAGCUGUGUUAGCUUAAUGUCUAUGUUGCCGUACCACUCUGCAACCGCCUCCGCCGUGCUCACUUCCAUGCUAUCCGUCGCGCCUCGCGGUCACGGUUGGAGCAUUGAAGGUGAGCUCUACUACGCUUUCGUAGCUUUAAUGCUCUGAAUUCUGUAACAGUUAUGGAAUUAGAAUUAAUGGCAUCUUGAUCCUAUCAUUUUCCGUGAGUAAAUGAUUUGAGGGAAAUCGAGACAUCUCAAAAGAAACUAUGAUAUUUUGCUAUUAACUUCAAUGAAACUCAAAUUAUGUUGUAGUCAUGAUCCAUUAGGUUAUCAAUGAUCCUUUCUGAAUUAAUAAUUCUUAAAUAAAUGUCAAGAGGAAUAAGAUGCAUUUGUUUGUAAAGACACAGACUAGUACUUGGCCAUGUCUUUUCCAUGGUCAAUUUAAAUUUUUGAUCAUAUCCGAGAGCUUGUUUCUAUGGAUAGAUUAUCGCGCUUCUAAUUGUUUUCACAAACUGUUGUCGAUAUUUAGUAUUGUACAAUCAUCCUAAUACAUUGUGUUCAUCAGAUUCCAACGAUGAUGUAUGAUGAUUGUUGGAUUGUUCGAGCGAAGUUUUAGUUUCAUGACCACUAGGAGAUUGUCUGAUAGGUAGAGUCUCAUGCAGAGAGUUCUUAAUAUUUCGUGAUUUUUGGUAUACAAUGAGCUCAUCAUAUUUUAGAAAGUAAACUUUUUAGUUAAUUUCUUUGCUGAAUCAAAAUUCUCGAUGUUUGUAACUUUCCUUUAACAUGUGAAUCCUCAAGAAGUUCACCUGAGGCUGUUUUGUAGUGAAUUUUGUAAUAAGGUGAAAUCUGCAAGUAUGGUAGUCCUCGAUUCUUUAUGUAAAAUACUUAUUGUCUUCUAUUUUGUAUUGCUUCAAGACUUGCCUUGUCAUGACCUUGAUAAAAAAGAAUAGAAAAAAAAUAAAUGCUAGCAUAACCUUUUGACUCGCCUUUCCUUUUUCUUUUGUUCAGGGUUAUGAUUACUGCUCAUUGGCUGAUUUGAGGCUUGAAGGUUUUCUGAUUCUCUCGUUUUUGUUUAAGUUGAAUAUGUAUAAGCUGGAUGAUAACUGGCACUUUAAGUCACAGUCUUAAUCUCUGCAUUGGUUUUUUUGUUGUUUUCUAGCAGCAAAUGGCUAAAUAGUUUUUUUCUUUUUUAAUUUCCAGAGCCUUCCAUAAGAAAUAUUUCUUUUCCUGUAUUGUAGAUGGAUGAUUGUUAGAAUGAGUUGAGAUGCGCUGCGUUUCGUGAUUGGUGUCAAUGGACAUGUAAUACUACUUCAAGAGACAUUAUCCUGCAUCGUCAUUAAAGCUACUCUUAUAACCCUAGUAGUCGUCUUCCCCAAUCGAGCUAGAAAUUACUUGCAUCAGGAAACUUCUGGGUUUGUACUUUUUUAACCUUUAAAUGCCAGAAGAUAUAUUAAAUCAUGUUUCUUUUUCCUCUCUUUUUAGGAAAAAAGUGGUAUUGUGUGGAUAUUGGUAGGGAAUGGACUCUCACGGGAAAAAAUAGUUUUAUAAAUUGUUUUUGAGCUAAUUAGUAUUAUUGGAAUUCUUAUUAUGGGCCAAAAUGGUCUUUCUUUUUCCCGAUCAUGUGUAAAAUAAAGUCAGACUUUUGAGUUUUCUCAAUCUAUGAAAAUCAUCUUUUUUGUGAAUACAAAGUAGUAAUACUCGUUCGUUUCCAAGUAAUAAAGUGUGCUUGCUUUUGUUCGGAUUUGUUAUAUAGAUUUAUGUCGGGAAUUUGAACUCAGCUACAUCUAAAACUUUAUCGCUGGGGAUAUUCAUGUUUUCCUACAAUUGCUGCUUCUGCUUGGUAUUUUACAGAUAAAAAAUUUGCAAAAUGCCUCGAGCUAAAUUUUUACCUAUUUAGGAAAGUGCCAAAUUAUACAGAUCAGUGUCAGAGGUCGGGAUUAGUGCAGGAGUGUAUUGAAUUUUCCAUUUGAAAAAUAAUUGAUAACCCCUAAUCACUUGUCCAUGAGAACGACUAAUUAAUGUUAAACUUUGAAUAUGAUUUGCAAUUGAUUUUUCAAAGGUUCUAGCAUUUUUCUCCUUAGUUUUAGUUCCUAAUAAGGCAAGUUGUGUGAUCAUUUGUUGGGAGUUAUCCCUUUCUGAGUUGCAAGAUGCUACUUGCUAUCACAGGAGAACUCAAAUGUACACCAUAAAUAAUUCAUCUACUUGCAUCAUGUUUGGACUCAUCUUGAUUUCUCCAAAUAAAAUCAUUCUUUUUCUUUCUUAAAAGAUAUUCACGUAUAUUUGAUAUAUGAUUCACUCGCGCACACAAACAUAUAAUCUGAUUUGUAUAUUUGAUAUAUGAUUCACUCGCACACACAAACAUAUAAUCUGAUUUUUAUAAGAUGGAAGUAGUAAUUUCUUUGAUCAACUACAAUUGAGCCCGGUACCAUAAUAAUUGCAAGGUUUUAUGACUAAAAAAUUGUUGCCGAAUUCGACUAGAUCAUGUAACAACGGCGAAGAAAAAGAUUGGAAUGGCAUAAUGCUAUGUGGAGAAACAGCAUUGUGGAGAUGCAAUUGAGUUAUUGUGAAAUAAUUCACUAAUAUUCUGUCUCGACACAGGCUAUUCAAAGAAAUAUCUGUGCUAAAAUAAAGAUAAAAAACGAGAAAACAACCCAGAAAUAUACUUGCGAAUAUUGAAAAUUUACUUUUUUCCACAUUUAAGAACGAGAGAUAAUAUAUGGCAGAAUCAAGGGACCAUAUUGUUUACACACCAACAAAUUAAUGCCACAAUUAAAUCAGACCUAUAGCAUGUUGUUAAUCAACUCAGUGGCAAAAAAGACAAAGUAACCAGGAAAACUUGUAUACCGAAGACCCAAUAGUGACAAAGUGAAUUGCAGUCCAAUAUCCACAAGGUGGAAUUCAAACUUUUCAAGAUUCUUCAACGUUAACCAGCUCAUACUCGACAAGGGAGAGAUUGUUUUCCUCUUUGACCACAAAAUCUGCUGGUUCAGUAACCUCAACACGGCCCCACUUAUCAACAGCAAGCCUCAUCGACCCCUUAAACAUGUCGAUCUUUGCAUUGCGAAGUAUCACUGUGUUACCAGGCUUCAUCAUCUCAACUGCAUCAUAAUUAAAGCUCAUCCCAUCAACAAAUAUGUCCAAAGUAGUGGUGAGAUAGUCCAACAGAGAUGGACAUCCAUAUUAUGAGCAAUCAUCAACACAUACUGUAUCAUCAAAGAAGUAAAGGGCAUUGCCAUAUAACAGGUAGGUAUACUGUAGCAAGUUAGUCAACACAAAAAUAAAUGCUAUCUUGAUAUAGUAUAAUGGUAUACUGGCCACCUUAUCUUUAGUUGUAUAUCGCAAAAACUAACAGAACAAGUUGCAACCAACCACAAUAAAAGAAAAUGAUCAAUCUCAAUGAUAUUUAAAAAUAGAAGGCACAAAAAUCAUUGUAAAAAAUUGAAACAAAACAAGAAGUUUGAUAGGUAAGACAUAAGUUCAAAGUUGAAUCCAAUCCAAGAUUAUGUCACCCCACCAGCAAAAAACCCAGAUUGAGAACCAGAGCUGUUUUUUAAGUUCCUUACAUCAAAGUCACAAACGAAAAAUCAGGGAGUUGCAUAGAAUGCAGCAAAUUAUUAGUGGCAUUCAGAAAGAUUUCAUUCUGCAUUAAUGAAGGGUUUAUUUAUUCACCAUCCGGAACAUACCAGACAGGCUGCAUCUGUAAGACUGUAACACUAAACACAAACUUUCCUCGAAAUCACUAAAUUCUGAUUUAUAGAAUAUAUACCAGAAUAAUCAAAUACUAUUUGAUUUUAAGCUUGGAAAGACGGCUUAAGAAUUAGGUACGGACUAAAACCCAACAAAAUGUGAUCACGGAAACAAAUCAAUCAUUCCCUCCAAAAUAACAAACAUGAAAAUGGAAACAAAAUUUUGACUUGCACACUGUUAUUCAACAAAAAUGUCCCAAAAUAUUCAACAGAGAACGAAAAUUCUGAAGUACUGCAUUUCCAUAGAAUAAUUGAGACCAUACAAUAACCUGAGACAACCUAUUAAUCUAAUUAGACAUUUAAAGAUAAAAACGGGAGUAGCAGUAUCUGCAGCAACAUAUUUAAAUUUUUCUGUAUACUAAAAAGGUGUUAUCACAGGCUCAAGACCAUGAUCAUAAUUCCUUUCAGUUUCUAGUUACCCACCAGUCAACAAAACAAUUGACAAAAAAAAACCUAACCGAUCAAAAUUCCCAGCCAAAUAAAAAAAUCCAAACAAGGUUUUAGUGACGCCACACAAAUUCCUAAGAGGCAUCAGCCACUGCGCAAACACACACACAAUCAUACACGUAUCCACAUGUAUAUAUCAGCAUAUCAACAAUGAAUAAAAUUUCACAAAACCCUCAAACAAACAAUUAAAAAAUCGCAGCAUUUACGACCAGAGCACAAGCUAGGAGAUUAUCUCAAGACCUUGAUCGUUACGAGCCGUGAAGAGAAUCGUGCCCGUUUCGUCUCCGAUAAGGCAUUCGGCGAUCCUCGUAUUCUGGUUCUGGGCCCCACGAAAAGUCGGGUUCCGUGGCUUCUUGCUCAGAACGGUGGUCGAUUCCAGCACUUUAACGACAAGUGUGUGCCCGCUCGUCCCCGGCUUCAGAGAAUCGACCUUCACGAACACCGGUUUACGCAGCCCCGGCUUGCUAUCGGCCGAGACGCCGCCCUGCUGCUGAGCUUCCGAUGACGGCGCUUUGGCUGCCAUGGUGACUGAGUUUUUGAGCGUGGGAGUGAGUGAGACUGACUUGGGGUUUUAGUUUCGAUUUGGGUGCGAAUGAAACCCUAACCCUAAUUCUCGCGAUUAUAAAAAUGGAAAAAGGAAGUGACAAAAAUGAUUUAGAGGCUUUUGAGUGGAGGAGAUGAUAUGAGAGAUUCUCGGAAAUGCGACGACCGAUUUCAUCGAAACGGCGCCGUUACGGAUACGCUAUACUUUUUUGGGCCGGGGCCACCAAAAUGAAUAGAAUUAUCGUGGCCCAAGUCAGGCCCAUUAUAUUUAUCCUAUUACUAAGUACUAAGUGUGUGGACCCAUAAUUAAUUAAGAAAUAUAUACUCACUCUGUCACACUAUAAGUGGUCUGUAUUUCAUUUUGAAUCGUCUCAUUAUAAGUGUCAUGUUUCUAUAAAUAGAAAAUUUUAACCCUUAAAAAAUUAUAGGUCCUAUCACUUUUAACUAAUUUACACCUUCUCCUUAAUUUUCGUGUCGAAAGGUUUUGAGCCACUUAUAGUGGAACGGACGGAGUAAAUGAUAAACAUUUAUAUUCUCUUGAUAAUAACAGUGGGACUCUAUUUAACAUCAAUUCUAGAAUAAUUUGACGGAAAGUAAGUUCAAAAUUCUAGAUUUUCGUAUAUAAAUGGCGUCGAGACAUGCUUUGGUAAAAUUAAUCAUGACUUUAUUUGGAAAUGAUAUUUCUAGCUCCAACCUUUUUUUUUCGGUCGGAAAGUAGGUCAUUUGGCAUUGUAAUGAUAUGGGGCUAGGACAAUUAUUCAUUUCUGAGCAAAUAAUUUUAAUUUAGGUACAAUUGGUAUCUCUCUUUUUUUAUGUGGGCGUUUUAAGAGGAAAUUAAUAAAAUUAUCAUUUUAAAAUACUAAAGAUAAAAAUUAGUUUAGCUUCCAAUGAACACAAAAAUCGAUAUUAGCUUACUAACAUAAAAAAUGAUUGAAUAAAUAUAUAAUUACUUCUACCAUUUUAUUCCGCAAUUCACAAUUACAGGUUUAGUGGUUAAUUGCUCUAUUUUAGAGAUAAUUUAUAGUUGAGAAUUCGCAAUUUAAGACUAAACAGUCAUUUUUUUUAGCCGAGGACUAAAUAGUCAUUAGCUGACCAUAUUUUACAUAUAAUUCUCGACUAAAAUGCUUCUUAGUGCUCGUUGGGUUCAAGUAGAAAAAUGGAAAGGGAAUGAAAUCAGAUAAAGGAGUGCAAUGGUAACAAUAAUCAUUACUUUUAUUGAGUGUUUGGUUUAACAAUAAAAAAGAAUCAUUAGUAAGAGAUUUCCUUUCUUUUGUUUUCCCUCUAUUUUGAGGGGUAACAAAUUGGAUGAUUGGGUUACCCUCAAAUAAGGGUAAUGAUUAUCUCAUUACCCAAACCAAACAACAAGUAAUGGAUUCAAUUAUUUGAUUCUCUUUCCAACCUCUAGAAACACCCAACCAAACGUGGGCAGUGGGCUUAGUGUGAAUUGACCUUACUUUGCCUAUAAUUUCAUGAUUAAAAUACUUCUUAAUCAUGAAUUCACCCUAUUCUACCUACAAUUCGCAAACAAAAUCUUAUGAACUCGUGAGUUUGAUAUUGUCCUCUGUGCCGUUGUGCGCGAUGCACUGUAACAACUAUAGUUAAAAAAUAAAAUAAAUAAAUAUAUAACUAAAUUAUAAAAUUUUAUGAAUCAUAAAUAUUAUAAAUUUAAAAAUAUUUAAUUUUGUACAACAUUAAUUCAUAGUAGUACUACGAAAAAGUAGAGUAGUAUAUUAAUAAAAUAAAAGUUUUAAUAUUUCAUAAAAUUAAUUUUUGAGAAGGAAAAUUUGUUGAAUAAUCACAAUUACUAUUCAAAAGUUUCAAAUUUAGAUUUUUCCGAUUCUAGUUUAUUUAUUAAAAAAAACACUAAUAAGAAGAAGUUGAAAUUCUUACCUUAUAAUAAACGAGAUUGUGUGUUGAUAGUUUGCAUAUUUCAUUAGGGUUAUUGAUGUCUAAAUACAUAAAUUUUAGAGUUAAUGGGCUCAAUUAGCCCUUCUUGUAUAAGAAAAGGAAAAAGUGUUCACCCAAAUAAAAAUAUGGAAAAACUAACUUUUUAAUAUAAAUGUACAAUUAUACCCUUAAUACAGUUACACACUUUUUUGCAAAAGUGUGUAAUUGCGAAAAAGUGUGUAACAGUGUAGAAUACACUGUUACACACUUUUUCAAAAAUCGUGCAAUAAUCGCGAAAAUUAUGUAACGUAAAAGUGUGUGAUUGUGAAAAAGAGUGUAAUAGUGUAUUUUAUACUAUUACACAGUUUUUCGCUUCUAAAUAGUGUGUAAUAGUAUAUUUUACAUUGUUACACACUAAAAGGGUAUUUUAGUCAGAAAUGUUAUUAUUUCCAUAUUUUAUUUGUAUGGCUAGAAUUUCCUAUGACUAAAAUGUUUUGGCUACAUUAGGGUGAUACCUCUAAGUUUUAAAUGUAUCUUGAUUUUGCACAUGAAUUUCGAAAGGUGUAAAUAAAUACACAAAUUUAAACAUUAUAGCAAAUUUUCCAUAAUUUGAUCGAAUUUAUGUUCAAAUUAAAUUUGACAUGGAGUAUGUGGGCAUAUUGACUUUGACGUGGUACAACUCUAAUUAAAACUAUAUAAUUUUACUUAUGAAAUUUUAAAAAAAUAAAAUAAAAAAAUACACAAUUUAUUUUUAAAAUAUCCUCAUCAUUCCCGUGAUCCCGUCUAUCUCCCUCUUCUCUCUCUUUCUUUCUACAACUACUCUGUCUCAUUUUAUGUUUGGUAAAAAAAUAAAGGAUCCAAUUAGUGAUCUAAAUUAUGGAUUAAAAUGCCUAAUUAUUACGAAGUACGGAAACAACUCAAGUUAGUCGGCAUCACCCGAAAAGGAAUACGAUUUAAGUUAGUCGGGAUGAAGGGAGUACAUGAUCAAAUAUGGUUAUAAUUAUAUACUAAGGGCCCGUUUGAUUUUCAGUAUUGGAUUAAUCAGGAUAUAAAUUAUCCUGAUAAUUUAGUGUGGAUUAGUCAUGAUUUCUAAUCUCAGAUGAGUGUUUGAUAUCAUUGGUAAUUAAUCCCAAAAAGUGUUUGGUAUCCAUUGAAAUAGGGUGGAUUAACAUAUCAAAUACCUAAAUUAGUAGCCUAUGGAGGGGGUGGAAUAAUUAGUGUGGGUUAAUCCCAUGGGGGAGGUGGGAUAAUUAGUGUGGGUUAAUCCCACAAAAUAAGCUAGGGUCUUGGGAUAAACCUGGAGUUGACCAUAUUAGUAACACAUAAUAUCAAACACUACAUAAAUCCAUAUUAAUUUAACUUAUCCUGCUUUUAAACCCAUAUCAAACAAGCCCUAACAAUAUAUAUAGGGUUAGCUGAAUCAUGCAAACCAAUCGAAUACUUGAUUAAAUUGGAUUAUUAUAUUAAUAAUAUUUUAUUACUCAAAUAUAAUUAAACGACUCCAAAGAAGACAAUGAACACUUUUUGUUUUAUGUUCCUAGCGUUCAAGGCUCGCUCCGAUAAUAAAAUUAAUAUUAUUUUUUUUAUCAACGGACGUAUUAUUAUUUAUAUUUUUUAAAAGACCUUCACUUUUCAUGAUUGAUAAGAUAUAUAAUUGAGUAUUUUUAUUAAGAUAAUUUUAAUUUCACUAUUUGAAUGAAACAUGAAUUAAAUAAAAUUAGCUCAAAUAAUGAAAAUUAUUAAGAGAAUUGAGAUAGAUUUGCCAAGAGUGCAAAUAAUUGUGAUAGAAAACGUAGUUAAUCCUGUUUUUAAUCAUUGAAAUUUGCACGCAGUUGAUUGGAAUACUCCUAGAUGCUCAUUUCUCGGUCAGUAUUUUCUUACGAUUUACUUCCUCCGUCUCAUUAAAAUAAGAAUAAACUCAAUUUUUUUGGGCACAAAGAUUAAUAAAUUUAUUUUUAAGGAAAAAAGUAAUAUGACCUACACCAAUUAAAUAUUUUAAUUACAUUUUUUUCACUAAAAAAAAACCCUAUUAUAUAGUGAAACAUUUUAAAAUGAAAAAUUAGUCUAUUCUAAUGGAACGGAGAAAAUAUUACAUUUUUUUUUGCCAUAUUUGUCCAUCGACGUCAAGUACGUCAUUCAAGAAUAUAUUCGAACUCAACAUAUCACUCACGAUUCUUCGAGGUUUCUUGGAUCACCAAAUAUUUGAAAAAAUGAAUAUUAUAUGAAUGAGUUAUGAAUAUGAUUUGAGUUUAUAACUAUUUAAACUAAAUAAUUUGUGCCUAAAGAAAAUACUAAAUAAUCUGUGGGCUAGGCACAAAACUAACUACGUGGUUCAGUUGACUUGGGGCCACUGAAGUAAUAAUUUACUUUGUCAUAUUCAUGUCUAUAAAAAACUAUACAAGAAAUAUGAUUAUCCAUAUAAUGGAAACUUAUUUAUAUAAAAAAUUUAUACUCCCUUUAUCUUAAUUAUAUGAGCUUAUUUUAAAUUUUAUAAGUGUUCCAACAAUGUAUGAGUUGAGGUAAUAAUUUUUUCAUGCUUUUACUUGUAUACCCUCAUUUAACUUUUUAAUUGAUUUUAAUAUUAUUUUAUCAUCAAAAAAUAAAUAUAAUCAUAUUAGAAAAAAAAAUUGUAUAAUUUUUUUUUUCUAGUUAUUUUUUUAAUUUUCUUGUUGUCAAAUUCUAAUCAAAUCUAUAUAAUUAGGACGAGGAGAGUAUAAUAACAGCAGCAGGUUUUUUAGGUGAAAACUCACAUCUUGAUCUGUACAUAUGUACGCACUUCUUCUAAUUCACCAUUAUUCACCUUUAUGAGAGUUAAAUCUAGAUCUUUCCACUUAAAAAACAUUAAUUAAGUUGAAUUAUUCAACACUAUUAUAAAGAGCUAGCAUCAAAUGAAAUGACAUCAAUGACUGAUACAACUUCAAAUCCACGUCAAAGACUUCAACAUUGUACUAUAUGACAAGGGAAAGAUUAUUAUUAAUGCAAUAAACAUGAAAACGUAUCUUAUGAAUAUGAAUGAUCAUGAUUCAAAUUAUACCGAAUACUUGAAAGCUAAAAUAAAUUCCUAAUGCGCUAUCAAAUUAAGUAAUAUUAUAAUUACCUAAUAAUUAUGUAAACAUAAAUUUUUAUAUGUGAACGUUUGCAUGGUGUAGACCCCCCACAUACUUUAAUAGAACAUUAGUAUUAUAUUUAUAAGUGUUCUAUUAAAAUAUAUGAAUGGUCAGCACCGUGUAAACGUCGCAUAUGAGACAUUCUCUUAUGUAAAUAUGUAAUUUAUCAAUCAUAUUUUUUUUAUUUUUUAUUUUUUACUCAAGGGAAUAAAGAACAGUGGAGUUUGAACCCUAAACUUUGUUGCUUACAGACAGGAGUUCGCAAUGCUUGGAUGUUUAAAUGAUUCAAUUAGAUUUAGCUACAAAUGUAGAAUGGAAUACUAUUGAAAAUCAAACCAAAUUGUUCAACACUCAAUUUGAAAACGUCAAUUAAGUAAUUACUUAAUCUAAAUUUAUAUAAAUUAUUGUUACACUUAGAUUUACGUAACCAGAGGUUGAAUGGAAUAGUAUUGAAAAUCAAAUCAAAUUAUUCAAUGUUCAAAACUAAAGCACUAAUUAAGUACUCGCUUGUUCUAGACUUGAUAAAGAAUAUAUUAACAUAAUAUUGUAACUAGUAAUUUCCAUUGUCAAGGUCGAGCUCAAAAAGUCAAAUAAAUGUUAUACUCCAUCCGUUCCAACUAUAAUAAGAUUCUUUUUUUGGGCAUGAAAAUUAAGAAAAGUGUUUUUUGUGUGUAAAAUAAAAAAAUAAAAAUAUGAAUAAAGGGUAAAAUUUUUGCCAAAUAAGGAAAGAUCUCAAGAUAGGUGAGACGUUCAAAAUGGAAAUAGUCUCAAGAUAGAUGGAACGUAGGGAAUAUAUUGUAACUAUCAUAUGCUCCCUCGUCCUUCAUAUUUAUGCAUAAUUUUUUUUGGGUAUGUUCCUUCAAUUAUGCACACUUUAUUUUUGAACACUAUUUAAUACAUAAUUUUUAUAAUUUAAUAUGUAUAACUUACACUAUUUAUCCACGAUCUACUUAACAACACCCUAAUAUGAAAUAUUUUUUCCACUAUCAAUACUUCAAAUAAUUUUUUAUUAAAAUAUAUAUUAUAAUCAACUAUGCAUAUUUAUGAGGGACGAAUAGAGCAUCAAAUAAGUCGAAUUCAACCCACCCUCCCUUCCAACUCAAUUAAGACUAUAUAUAUAUAAAGGUAAUUAAGAGACUACAUAUUAAUAGAUGAAUUCAAACUUAGAUAUUACUCUAUUCGUUUUAUUAAAAUUGGCUCAUUUUUUAUUUUGAAAUAUUUCAUUAAAAUUGACCCAUUUGUAUAAAAAAGUAUUAACUCUUUAAAAAUUAUGGAUCAUAUCACUAUUAUUGAAUUUACAUCUUCUGUUUAAUUUUGUGUUCAAAAAAACUGGGGGAGGAAGUAUUAAUUUAAGAGUGGCACAAAAUAUCAGCAGUAAAAUUACAAGGAGAGCCCUGGCCUGUGUAGGCAGAGUAAAGGACAAGUCGGUAGAUAAGGUGACACAUGGUAUAUCUACGUCCUCGGGCGGGGCCCACUUCACUUAGUCUUCAUCCUUAUCCUCUUUGCAAGAUUUCCUUUUCUUCCACUCAACUUUUACUAUCACCACGCCACUCCCAUGCACUGCUUCCUUCAAAAUUUCAAAUCUCUACAUGAAUUAUCUUACGGGAGAUUUACAUGAUAUCCAACGACCAACGUACAUUUUUUUCCCCCCACUUUUCUCCUUAAUUUCAAUUUUAUAUAUUUUAGUUUAAGUUUAUUAUUAAUUAAAGUUUAUUCCAUUCAAAUGAAGUUAUAUAAUUAUUUUUUUUAUCAUUUAUUUUAGUUAAUAAUUUGUAUUUGAAUAAUGUAUUUGUAUCAUUAUAUCCACAUAAGAUCUUGGACAAUAAUUUUAUUUUCGUAUAAAAGUUUGGCAUUUAAAAAUUAAAUGGAAGUUAAAGAUUUUUUAUAUAUAUAAAAAAGAUCAUUAUUGGUCAUAAAUUUUAGACGUUCUAGCGCUUGCGUGGAAAAGUAAACAUGCAUAAAUUCAUGCGAGAGUUCAAUGAAAUGGUUAUCAUUUUAUUAUUGAAUAUAAUUCACUAUAAAAAACUAUUCUAUUCAUCUCAUAAAAAUUGUUUACUUGCUUUUCGACACAAGAAUUUAAGUAGAAAUGAUUAACGAGUUAAAAGAUAAAAAGUGGUAAAAUUCAUUUUUAUUUUGUGAGAGAAGAUAUUUUUUUUUUCAUUUUAGAAAUGAGAGAAGAAUUUAAGUGAAUAUAACUAAAGGGUAAAAAGAUAAAAAGUUUAAAAGUGAGAAGAAUUUAAAUGAAUAUAAUUAAAGGAUAAAAAGAUAAAAAAGUGAUGGAGCCCACUUCUUCCUUUAAAAAAUAGACGCUUCUUAUGGGACAAACAAAAAAAAUAUAGACACUUGUUCUAGAAUGGAAGAAGUAUUAAUUAAAGAAGAAAAUUAACGACGAAAAAAAAUGUGAAAUAAAUAAUGGGUUAAUGUUGAAUUUUAACUCAUUAUUAGUGAUUCUAUCUCGAACCAAAAUUAUACUCUCUCCAUCACAAUUUAAUAGGUCAUAUUUUUUUUAUUUGGACGUCUCAAUUUAAUAGGCUAUUUCCUAAAAUAAAAAAUUAUACUCUCUCCGUUCCAUUAAAAAUGUCUCAUCACCUUUGGGCACGGAGAUUAAGAAAUAUGUAGAAACUAGAUAAAGUAAGUUGGUGGAAAUUAUUUAAAUAUUAGGUAUAGAGAGAGAACAUAUUACCAAAAAAGGAAUGUGACAUACCAUUAUAAAAAGUGGACAUUUAUAAUGAGACAGAGAGAGUACAUAACAAACAUUUACACACAACUCAUUAUUUACACAAUUAUACCAAAUGUCAUUGUGGUCCCCACCCAAAAGUGUUAAUUGACAAACAUGGUUUUCGUACCUCAAUAUCGCAUGAAUUGUUGUCUUUUUUCCCCUUGAAUUGAUUGCUAAUAUGUAUUUGUAUCCCAAUUUUGAGUUUUGUGAAGAUUUGAUUCCUUGGUGUAGUUUUGGAGUGAUUUCAGGAAAAUUCAAGGAUUAAUUGGAGAAUUUUGAAGAUAUGAGAUUGAAGUACAUCUCGAGAGGAAUCCGUGAGCGCAAACGGCGACCAAAUCCGGGCCGCGGCUGCGGGCCCCCUCCAAAAGCUCUCCCACGGUCAUGUACCGCGAUCACGGCCGUGACCGCGGUCAAAAGGCGGAAUUGUGCGUUUUUGUGGGCCCAGACGGGAUUUUUAGCCCCAAAACUCCUUUUCCCCCCUCUUUUCUCAUACCAUUCACCAUUCCCACACAUUUUAUCUUCCCCAACACUCCAAUUCCAAACCCUAGCCUCCAUUCUCUACCAUUUUCUCUCUUCCACACACAAGAACAACACCAAAAUCAAAGAAAGAAGGGGAAGACUUGGAAAGGAGCUCAUCAAGACUACAUGAUUGAAGAUCAAGAUUAUAGGAUUUGUCUAUGAAUCUCUAUCUCUCUAUAUCUUUAUUUAUGUUUUCUUAUGACUUGGGAUUUAUUUUUAUUAUGAAUAUGCUUGGCUAAAAUCCCUUAUCUUAGGGAUUAGAUUAGAUGGAUUUGUAAUGGAUUGAUUUCUUUGUUUAAUAUAUAUCUUGAUUGUGCUUAUUGUUAUCUUUUCAAGCCCUAGAUUUAUCUCUUGUAUGAUUGGUUGGCCACCUUUUGUGCAUUUCUAAUUUGUUAUUUGAAUCGGGAGAGGAUAAUUACAAUAGAUUAGGAGUUUGAUACAUAUCAUCUCAAUAAACCGGGAGGUUGAGAGUUGGGUGAGGGAUUGUUGAUCUUUUGUGCUCUUGGGAGUUAUAGGUUAGAAAUUGACCGGGGACGACAAUUAUGACCCGUAAUCUACUGUUUUAGUCGUCCGGGAGGGGGCUAAAACUAGUGGGGAGAUCGCCCUAGAUAAGUAGGCCAUAUCAAGAUUUAUAUUGAUUUAGAUUGAAGUUCAUUACUAUCCAUCGAAAUCUAGUCCCUAGGAUAACUUUCCUUCGAGUCAUUCCCCAAUUUAUUAACUAAGUUUAUAUUAUUGUUAUUUAGUUUGCUUGCUUUAUUUAACUUUGUAUUUAACUUUAAAUCUCUUACUUUGAUUGUCUAAAUAGAUUGAAAACAACUUAUUAAUAGUAUUUAGAAGUUUGAAUUCACCAAUCCUUGUGGGAUACGACUUUGCUUCCACUUAUUGCAACUACACCGUAUACUUGCGGCGUGGUGAAAAUAAUAGCGAACAAGUUAAUACGCAAGAAUGCCAUAUUUCUUGUAUUGUAUAUGAAAAAUAUCCUACUUUAUAAACUUAAGCAUUUUAUGCUCAAAUUAUGUGAAUUACUUAUUUUACCAUUUGAUGUUGAUGAGUUUGCUUGGUUUUUUGUGAAAGUCUUACACAUUUGAUCGAUUUGACAUCUAUCAGUCAUAAAAGUCAACGAUUUGACAGCUAUCAGUCAAAAACUCAUCUGACCGAUGGGUGGGUAGAUCAUCUGACCGCCCGGGAGGUCAGAUGAUCCGACCACCCAGAUCCUAUGACCGUCCGGUAAAAUCAUCUGACCGCGGUCAGAUGAUCUAUCCACCCACCGAUCAGAUGAGUUCUUAACUAAUAACUGUCACAUAGUUGACUUUUAUGACUGAUAGCUGUCAAAUCGAUCAAAUAUGUAAAAUUUUCACAAAAAACCAAGCAGACCCAUCAAAUCAAAGAGUAUUUAAAGAAUAGAGCAUAGAAUGCUUAUGUUUAUAAAAGAUGAUAUUUUUCACAUAUAACUUAAGGAAUAUGACAUUUUAAAUUUUCACUCUCCACAAAAUUAUCUCUUGUUUCACUUAAAAAAUAAUAUCUUAAUUUCUCUAUUCUACUUUUUUCACAACUUUACCCUUAAAAAAAAAUCUACUUUCUCUCUCCCAUUUUAUAAUAAACUAUUUGUUUCUUAAUAUUCGUGUCCAAACUUUAUGAUCUAUUGAAUUAAGACAGAGGAAGUAAUAAUUUCUUUUUGCCAAACUCAAGAAUUUUAAUAUAUAAACGUAAAGUUAAAGAAAUUUUCUACUAAAAAAAAAGGCUAAAGCGCGGUACACAAAUUAUACUUAUCCUUUUAAAGAUUAUAUAAUUAUUUUUUAGAUAAAUGUAAUUAUAAAACAUGCAAUUGAAAAUGGUGUAAAUGAUGCAUACGAAUUUCAUAAAAGUCAAAUUUAACACACAUAUAAUUUCAAUAAAAUAAACCCUAUAAAGUAGUAAAUAUAUUAUAGUAUAAUUUAAUUUCAUGAAUAUUGGUAGCUAAUUAAUUUAUUAUUUGUACAUAAAAAUGGAAAUGUAGCCAGUAGCCUCAGUUUUUAAUUUAGGGAAAAGGUGCAGAUUGGCCCCCGAAGUAGUAGCCCCUAUAGCGUAUAACCCCUCUUACUCAAUGUGUGUGCAACUAAACCCCUGAACUCCGAGAAAAGGGUGCAAAUUCCCCCCUCUGACCUAACGCCGUUAAAUGUCCGUUAAUGUUUGGAUUUAAUUACACCAUCUACUUCAGGGGUGGAUCUGCACAUUAAUUUUCUUAUUUUAUUUUUAUUUUUAUUUUUUAUAAUUUCAGCAACCCACCUCCGGCAUCAACUUAACCGCCCCCCGUACUCAUCGGCUCCAACUUACACUUUGUCAGCUCGCAUGCGCUCAAUCUCUUGAUCGUCGACUGCUUACCGNNNNNNNNNNNNNNNNNNNNNNNNNNNNNNNNNNNNNNNNNNNNNNNNNNNNNNNNNNNNNNNNNNNNNNNNNNNNNNNNNNNNNNNNNNNNNNNNNNNNNNNNNNNNNNNNNNNNNNNNNNNNNNNNNNNNNNNNNNNNNNNNNNNNNNNNNNNNNNNNNNNNNNNNNNNNNNNNNNNNNNNNNNNNNNNNNNNNNNNNNNNNNNNNNNNNNNNNNNNNNNNNNNNNNNNNNNNNNNNNNNNNNNNNNNNNNNNNNNNAAAUCAUAAUUAUUAUCUAGAGUUUUAAUAAUUAUUCAAAAUAAAUAAAUAAAAUUUAAAUAUAUAUUAUAUAGAUAAAUAUAUACACAAUUAAUAUCAUAAGAUAAGCCUAAAAUGUUAAGGUGUUGGAGGAUCGAUGCUGUUGUGCGGGGCGGUGAAGAAGCUGGUGGCGUUGCUGCAUGUAAGCGGUGGACAGUCGACAACCAAGAGAUUGGGCGCGUGCGAACUAACAAGGUGCAAGCAGAAUCGAUGAGUAUGGGGGCGGUUAAGUUGAUGCCGGAGGUGAGUUGCUGAAAUUAUAAAAAAAUAAAAAAGAAAUUAAGGUGCAGAUCCACCCCUGAAGUAGAGGGUGCAAUUAAACCCAAACGUUAACGAACACUUAAUGGCGUUAGGUCGGAGGGGGGAAUUUGCACUCUUUUCUCGGAGUUCAGGGGUUUAAUUGCACACACAGUGAGUAAGAGGGAUUAUGCGUUAUAGGAGCUACUACUCCGGGGGCUAAUCUGCACAUUUACCCUUUAAUUUAUGAGUGAGGGUGUGGAGAAAGGGAUAAGAAGGUGGAAGAUAGAAAUGGGAAGAUAUUUUGCCUCGAAUCCUUGUAUUUAUUUAUACAUGUAUACCACCUUUACUAGUCACUCUCUAUAUAUAAUCAUCUUAUAGAAGAAGAAAAAGUAAAUCAAUGAAAAAUGGUGCUCCUCGAUCAUCUCUGGGAUGAUGUGGUGGCGGGGCCGCAGCCCGAUCAGCGCGGCCUCAAACACCUCAAGAAGCUUUACACGGCCAAGCCCUUGAACAUCAAAGGUAUAUAUAUAUAUAUACUCAGUCUCCGUCCGUGGUAAUUAAUUAAUUAAUUUGGUUUAAUUGGUUUUGUAGAUAUUGGAGUGGAGGGAAGCAGCAAGUACCCGAGAUCUGUGUCGAUGCCGUCGAGUCCGGCAACGCCGGGGACGCCGUCGCCCACCGCCCUGAGGAAGGACAACGUGUGGCGGAGCGUCUUCCACCCCGGCAGCAACCUCGCCACCAAGACCAUCGGAGCCAACUACUUCGACCGCCCCGAGCCCAACUCCCCCACUGUUUACGACUGGUAACCACAAUUUUUCUUUACUUUGAGAGACUUUCUCUAACCUAUAUAUAUGAUGAUGAUGAUGAUGAUUGUGGGGGUGACGAUCUCUACUCUCUUGAGAGCUAGUUUAAUGUUUUUCAAGAGGUUUUGGUAUUUUUGUGUUAAUUAAGUGAUCAAUCUUGGAUUUUGCAGGCUUUACAGUGGGGAGACGAGGAGCAAGCACCACGAGAAAGUGUAAGGGGCGGCAGACGGCGGCGGUUGCAUGUAUAUAGUGUUCAAGUCUACGUGUUUUCAUGAGUGGCGGAACCUCUGCAUAUAUAUAUUAAGUAUGUGUUAUGUAUAUGAGGGGUUUAAUUUCGUUUCUGUUGAGUUUGUGAUGUGCUUAAUGCAAAUCAAGACAGUAGCAGCUGCUUUUGAUAUGACCCUAGUGUAAAAUGAUGAAGAAACUAAGUAAGAUCUGGAUUUUCUCAAUCUCUGUCACAUAGUGUUUUUUAUUUUAACAUCAUCGGAUAAUAUCUUGAAUUAAGACAUUACACAAAUAUUAAUCUGCGAAUUUUGCAUAUAAUUAUAUGAUGAGAAAAAUUGAACCUUCUACACUAUCAAAUUAAGUUAACGAUCAAGAUUUGUUUGGAACAGUUCGAUGCCCAAAUUAGUCAAAGAUGGAUUCAUAACGUUACAAAAGAUAGUAUAAUAAUUUUCAUUUGCUAAAAAGGAAUCAAGUGAUGGCCCCAUACAUCAUAAUAAUUGGUGUGAUAUGGCUACUACAAUUCUAUCCGAUCAACACUAGUGGUAUUUUUUAAACGAUCUUCGAACCCAAAUUCAUAUUAUACUUAUUAAUUUUUCUAAUUAUUAAGUUCCAGGUUGCCACUUGCGAGUCCAUGUCCAAGUUAUUGAAUAAUGAAAUACCAUUACCUUGGCUAUAUAUGAUACUUUGUUAAUAAAAUAUAAUAUAUUCUGCAAAUAAUAAUAUAAUGGUGAAUUAAUUAACAUAAAGAUGGACGAUGAUAGAGAAAGCGUACUGACGGCAGACAAGAAGAUAAGGUUAUAAAUGGUCCACACUCCAUAUGGUAAAAUGUAGUAGUAUAUCAGAGUUAAUGGUGACUUUUCCAUUAUUAAUCAUGAUAGUCCAAUACGCACGCUAUUUAGUAAUGUUUAGAUUGGUACGUAACAGGUGGAAAAUGUAAGUUUGUUUAUAGGUAGGGAUGUCAAUAAGCUCGAAAUCAACGGGUGAAUUCAAAUAGAUCGAUGAAGAAAAAAGUUAGUGCCAAAAAAAUUUAAUCCAAAAUUUUUUUCAGUUUUUUGCUUAAAUGGAUUGAUCCGAAUUAAAAAUAGACCGAGUCCUAUAGACCCGAAAAUUAAAUGGAUUGAUCCAAUUAAUCCAAUUUUUGCUUAGUAAUUGAUUUUCAAAUUUUAUUACCUUAUUUUUUAAUUCGAUAAUAAGAUUUUAAUACUUGUGCAAUGUGUUUUAGUUUUUUCCAACGGUUAAUAACAAAUAUUUAUAACAUAAAAAUCAAAGAAAGAUAAUCACUUAUGUUAAAUGUAUAUCCAAUUCUUAUCAUUAAUGAAGUUGCACAUUAACUAUUAUGUAAAUUUACUUUGAAAUAACACUUAAAAAAAAUUAAAACGAGGCAAAGUGUAAAAAAACACGAUCUAUUUUUUCUUACAAGAAUAUGAUUAUCAAUAAAAAAUCACACAUGUAAAAAAAUCGUAAACUUGUGAAUCUGAUGGACUGGCUCGAAAUCAUAUGAGUUAGGGUUAGAGUCGAAAUAUUUUAGCUCGAAAAAUAAAAAAAUCGAUUAGUCCGAACUGAAAAUGACCUAAAAUUAAAUAAAUUGGCCCAAAACCGAAUAUGUCGGCCCAAGAUCCCUAAUUAUAUGACCUACUCAUUUUCGACUAGUCGUCAAUUAUACGUACAAUUAUGUAAGUAAGGACUAAUGUGUGGCACUCUAAUUUAUAUUGUUAUUAUGAAUCUCUAAAUUAUUUUAUACUACUAUCAAAUAUCACCAUUUUGUCAACUUUGCAUAUGUCUGGGGCUUAAGACAGUAGACUCCAAGUAGGGAUGAGCAGAAACCGAACCGGUCGAAAAAAAUCAACCGAAAAAUGAUCGAAUCGAUCGAUUUUCAGUGUCUUCUUUUUAUAGUGGUCGCCGGUUCGGCCCAUUUUCUAUAGAAAUUUUGGUUUUAUCGGCCGAUUCGAUUUUCCCGAAUUUGAUCUGUCGAAAACCGAAUCGACUGAAGAUAUAUAUUUAUAUAUUUUUUUAUUUACUAACCCUAACCCUAAAUCUAAAAACAUCUUUCACAUUUUCAGAUUUUCCCAACCCCCCCAUCUGUAUGCGGCGUCCCUCUUCCCCCUCAAUGCAAUUUCAAUUUUUCAAUGGUUCUCUUCCCUCCCCCCAAUCUCAGCCCAGAUGGACCAGGGCCUUCGGCCAACCCUUGCCGGCAGCCAUGCCGCGCCAGAACCCCUGUCGUGCAGUCGUGCCACGCCAGACCUUCCUCCGUGCCCGCGCUGUGACCGCAGCCGUGCCACAGUUUUCCCCUACACGAGACCUCUGGCGCUGCUCUCAUCUCCCUCCCUCCGUCCUCCUCUACUCUUCUCUCCUCUCCCCCGUCAACUUCUUAUCCCCCACAGUUCACGCCACUUUAAAGCAGUAGCUGAAGUCCUCGCCGUUUUUCUCCCUCUCUUCUCCGCGCCGAUCAACCGACCGAAAAACUGACUACAUCGUCGGUUCAUUUUUCCAUCGGUUUGUCUGCCAAAAUUCGGCCGGUUCGGCCCAGUAAAACUCCUAACCAUCAGUUAGUCAGUUUUUGAAUUUUAGGUCGGUCAGUCGACCGAACCGACCGAUGCACAACCCUAACUCCAAGGCUAGGGUUGAAUAUACAUGCACUUAAGAGCUUAUGAGCGCUAACAAUUUAUAAAAACAUUUUAAAAUUUUAUAAGAUUUAAAUUUUUAAGAGUUUAUAAGUUAUAAAAAUGUUUGAAUAAUUGAGUUUAUAAGCUAGUGAGAGAAUUUUGAGUUAAAGAGAAAAAAUAUUUGUUAGAGAGAAAAUUGAAAAUAUAUAAACUUAAAACGGUAUAUAAUGAAAAUGGUUGAAUAAUAUUUGUAAAAUGAUUAUUGCAUAAAAGGUUAGGGGCUUAUAAAUUAUUGGAGCUUAUAAGUUGUUUAAUAACUUAUUUUGCAAACAUUUUAAAGAAGCUUAUAAGCUCCUAAACAAUUUAUAAGCUCAGCCAAACAUUCUCUUAUUAUGAAUGGAUGGAUGUUUGGCUGACCUUAUAAGCUAUUCAAAACAGUUUAUAAAUUAUAUAGGAGCUUACAAGUUUUUAAAAAAUAUUUAGUAAAAUAAACUUCUAAGCAGUUUAUAAGUAGUAAAAAUAAGCUACAACAACUCAUAAAUAGAUAAAUAAUAAAAAAAAUCUUCAAUCCCAAUUUAUUUUUCAUAAUUUUAUAUAAAAAUAAUCAUUUUACAAAAAUAACUCUAAUAAAGUUUGUUGCUAUUUAUUUUGAUUUUACAAACUUUGCCGCCGAUUUUAUUCAAAUAGAUGUUGUGUGAUAGAGUCCGCUCGCAUCUCCUGACCGAUGAUCCCCAAUACCAUGCCCUAGCUCACGCGACUCAAUUACACUGGACCUGCAGAGAGAUUCCAAAGACUCUGGUGCAAGUGUGCAUGUGAAAUGAAGAAACGAAAGGAAUGAAAAGCUAAUGGUGAAUUAUGAUAACUGCCAUAGCAAAAGUCAGAUUGCAAGAAGAUACAAUAUUCCCCCAUUUAGCUGGAUUUUAUAGUUUGUGCUUUUCCUUUUGUAACACGCGUUUUCUUCUUUAUUCUCUGCUCCCAUCUUCUUCAUUUAUAACAACUACCUCCCCCUCAGAACAUAGCUUGACCUCAAGCUAGUAAGUGAGGAUACCGUGCUUGAAUCUCUUGAAAGUCUUCCCAAGUCGCCUUCUCCUCCGGGAGAUGUGCCCACUGCACUAGCACCUAGGUGCUAGGACUGUUGUUUCGCUUAACCAGACGGCGGGCUAGCACUUGAACUGGCUGCAACAAAGUCUUACCCUCGUCAUCGAAUGCCAAUAAUGUGGGACUAACUCUAUUUGAUGGUGCAACUCACUUCUUCAAGAAACUCACAUGAAAGACUGGAUGUAAUUUGGCCGUCGGUGGUAACACGAGCUCAUAAGCAACUGCACCCACUCGGUUGAUGAUCUGAAAAACUCUUUCACUUCGCUGGCGAUCUGCGCAGGUCUUCAUUCUUCCUUGCGCCUGUUGUAACAACCUCUGAAGUUGCAUCUAGAUGUCUUUUUUUUCCUGUACUGAUGCUUCUACACCAAUCACACUCGGCUGAGUGUAUGUAUAUAAAGCCAAUGGUGUUGGCUUAUAUCCAUACAAAGCAUCAAAAGGGAUUAGAUUCAAGGAUGUAUGGUAUGCGGUAUUAUACCAAAAUUCUGCUAAUUGAUAACCACUGAGACCACUUCUUUGGUGACUGACUACACAUACAACGUAAAUAUGACUCUAGACACUGAUUUACUCUCUCUGUUUGACCGUCGGUUUGAGGGUGAUAAGCUAUGCUCAAGUGGUGUCUGACUCCUAAGAUAGAAAUUAACUCUUUCCAAAAAAAACUAGUAAAUUUUUUGUCUCGAUCUGAAAUUAUACUCGACGACAAACCAUGUAAUUUGUAAACUGUAUCAAGAAAGAUAUGUGCAAUGUGUGAAGCAAUGUACAGGUGAUGAAGAUGAAUAAAGUGAGCAUAUUUUGUGAACCUAUCUACGAGUACCCAAAUGGAAUUAUGACUAGGGAAAGAGGUAAACCUUCUACAAAAUCCACUGUAAUUUGUUGCCACGCUUGCGCUAGGACAGGUAUUGGUUGUAACAAGCUAGGAGUGCGAGUAUUCUCGUGCUUGCUGAUUUGACAAGGCAGGCAAUGAGUGUCUACAAAAAAAAAAAGGCAGGCAGUGAGCUAUGUACACUUGUAUCUGUUCCCUCAUUCCCGGCCAAUAAAAUGUUGAGUAUAAUCGUUGAUAAGUGGUGUUAAUACCCGAAUGUCCUCCAUAAUUAGAAGCAUGAAAGUACUGCAACACCUUAUCUCGUAUGUCGCCUUGCUGCCUCAAAUACAAAUUGUCUUUGAAUCUUAGCAAGCCAUCAGAGUAUGAAAAUAAAGAUAUAUUAUAAUGUGUAGUGACACAUUCAGAAAUAGCCUCUUGCGCCACAUUAUCUAACUCAUAACUUCUAUGUAUCUCCUCCAUCCACACAGGUUUAAGCAUGUUGAUGGCUCUACAUUCUGCUUCAUGUUGAUCUCGUCAUGAGAGUGCAUCUGCCACUUUAUUUUCCACCCCUUUUUGUAUUCAAUUCUGUAAUCGAAGCCUAACAACUUGGUUAAGUACUUUUGUUGCACUGGGGUUGAGAUCUUCUGCUCCAAAAAUACUUAAGGCUUUGAUGAUCUAUUCUUAUUACGAACUGAUUGUGCAACAAGUAAGCUCUCCAUUUCUCCGUGGCAUGGAUAAUGACCAAGAAUUCCUUCUCAUAGAUUAAUAGACCCAAAUUCUUCGAGGCUAAAACUUUAGUGAGAUAUGCUAGGGGAUGAGAAUCCUGCAUCAGAACUGCUCCCAAUCCCUCAUAGCAAGCAUCAGUUUCUAAUGUAAAAAGUUUGCUGAAGUUGGGUAACUGUAGCACAGGUGCAGUGACCAUGGCAUUUUUUAGCGGUUGGAAGGCUUCUUCUGACUGUGGAGUCCAUUGAAAUUGCCCCUUCUUAGUCAUUUCUAUAAGAGGCUUGGCUAUAAGCCCAUAAUGUCUGACAAACUUCCGGUAAUACCCUGUUAACCCCGAGAAACCUCUCAAUGCCUUAACUUUGGUUUCGACCACUCUGUCAUAGCUUGAAUUUUUUUGGGAUCAGCAGAGACUCCUUUAUCACUUAUUACAUGUCCCAAAUACUCUACUUGAUUUGUACCAAACGAGCAUUUCGAUGCUUUAGCGAGCAACUGAUAUUCAGAUAGCAACUGGAAUACCGUAUCUAGAUGUUUAUCGUGCUCCGUCAUGGUAGGGCUAUAGAUCAAAAUAUCGAAGGGCACCAACACAUAUUUCCCCAAAUAUGGCCUAAACAUCGAGUUCAUCAAUGAUUGAAAUGUGGUAGGUGCAUUAGUGAGGCCAAAAGGCAUUACCUUAAAUUCAUAGAGACCACUUGUAGUCACAAAUGUUGUCUUUUGCAUAUCAGUUGGGUUCAUCUUGAUCUGUUGAUACCCUGCCCUCAGAUCCACCUUAGAAAACACUGUUGCUCCUCUUAAUUCAUCCAACAAGUCAUCUAUCAAUGGUAUAGGGAAGCUGUCUUUCACAGUCAUAGAAUUUAGUUUUUUGUAAUCUAUACGGAAGCACCAUGUUCCAUCUUUCUUUUUUACUAGCAACACUGGUGAUUAAAAAGGGGCUAUUGCUGGGUUGAAUAAUGCCCGAGUCCAACAUCUCCUGGACUAAUUUCUCUAUCUCCACCCUCUGUAGAUAUGGAUAUUUGUAUGGUGUUUGUUUAAAAGGUUGGGUUUCAGGUUUAAGAGUGAUAUUGUGAUCAUGAGAGUGGUGUGGAGGUAAUUGGGUGGGUUUUUCAAAGAUGUGUAAGUAUUUGGAUAUAAGGGGAUGAAGUGUUGGGGCUGCUUUACUCUCCUCCACUACUGUUUCUGCAGAGAGCAUACAUAAACACCCAAAUAUAGCUCCCUUUCAUUUUCUAUAUGCUAUUUUAAACUGCUUCCCACUUAUCAUUUUUAAUGUCACUUCUUGUGUGAUACCCUGCAACACUAUUUCCUUUCCCCCCUUCUUGAAUUGGAUGCUGGUUGUCAAAAUUGAAAGUCACUGGUCCCAAUUGCUUUAAUAAAUCAGCCCCUAUCACCAUGUCACACCCUCCCAAGUUCAAUAUUCUCAUGGAUGAACUAAAUUUGCAGCUUCUCAUAUCCCAUUCUAACUUUGGACACCUAGUGUUGUACUCAAACUUUCCCCCAUUUGCUAUCGUCACUUGUAGAGGAUUAGUAACCUCUAGCUCGCAAUCCAACUUCCUCGCAGUCAUAGCAUCAAGAAAGCUAUGGGUGCUCCCUGUAUCAAUCAACACUGACAUCACAUGUUUUCCCACUUUCCCCACUAUUUUAAUGGUGUCUGAUGUUGAGUGGCCUACCAACGCAUGUACUAAAAUGUGCACUUCUUUACCUUCUGAACUCAACUCUUCUAAUAUCAAUUCAUCUUCUUCUUCUCUAUCUUGUUCACACACUAUGACAAAUAGCUUUUUACAUCUAUGCCCUGGCUGAUAAGCUUCAUCGCAUUUAAAAUAAAGAUUCUUCUUCAUUCUCACUUCAAUUUCUUCCAGGGUAAGUUUCUUACAUGUGGGUGGCUGAUUCUGAUUGCUAGAGUUUUCUUUCUUCUGCCCCUUAUCCUCUCAUGUUCUUUCCAUUGAGGAUCGACCUGAUUAUAGUUUCUCUUGUUAAAUCUUUUAGGUCUUUUCCCCAAUGAGUUGAUCAACAACUCUUGUUUAUUUGCCAGUUGUAUCGCAACACUUAACGUUUUUGGGUUGAACAUCUCAACCAUACAUGCAAUUUCUUCUCUAAGUCCGCUCAUGUAACUUUGGCUGAAGUAUUCUUCUGUCAAAUUUCUAUUGUUAUUCACCAUGAAUGCCUUCAACUCCUUAUAUUGCAGGGUGUAGCUCCCCACAUCCCCCUCAGUCUUAGUUUAUUGAACUGAGCGAUUAAGUUUUUUCCUUCUAUGUUAGCAAAUCUCUCCAUUAUUAGUUCCACAAACCCAUUCCAAUCCAUUCCCUUAUUCACUUCUAUAUAUUCCAAGUACUAUAAAUCGGCUAUUCCUUCCAUAUGCAUUGCCGCAGUUAAGAUUAUGUCAUGAUCAUUAGCAGGGUUGAAAAGAAAAUACUCCUCACACUUUCUUACCCAUUGCCUAGGGUUCUCCCCGCUAAAUUUAGGAAAAUCGAGUUUAGGCUCUAGAGUGAGAGUAAUUAGGAUUACCUUGCAUCUGCUCUGCUCGUGAGUUUGUUGAUGUAGAUCUCUUUCUUCUCUACCCUCUGCUUGUACUCUCUUCCCUUCCACUCUGAGUUCCUUUCUUAGUUCCUCAAAUUGUUUUCGGAACACCACCAUCAUUGAUUGAUUCAUCUCCACUUGAUGUUGCUUCAAUUGCCCCAAUUGAGCUUCCAAGCUUUCGAUUCGCUUCUCCAUCUGAAUCGUUCCCCUCGUGUUGUUUCGCAGCAUACGCAGGUGUGGGUAGGAUCGUUAAGCUCUGAAUACCAAUUAACACGAGUCUGCUCGCAUCUCUUGAUCGAUGCCAUGCCUUAGCUCACGCGACUCAAUUACACUGGACCUGGAGAGAGAUUCCAAAGACUCUGGUGCAAGUGUGCAUGUGAAAUGAAGAAACGAAAAGGAUGAAAAGCUAAUGGUGAAUUAAGAUAACUGCCGUAGCAAAAGUCAGAUUGCAAAAAGAUACAAUAUUCCCCCCUUUAGCUGGAUUUUAUAGUUUGUUUAUCAUCUACCUAAUCAGCUAACUAAUUGAGCUAAUCGUAACUAACAUUGGCCACGUGGCUAUUUUAUUUGUUGGAUGCACUUUUCCUUUUGUAACACGCGUUUUCUUCUUUAUUUUCUGCUCCCAUCUUCUUCAUUCAUAAACAUUGUGAUUCGUCUAGGGUAGUGGAUGGCUAGAUUUGUGGGGAUUUUGUCAAUUUUUUUUAGAUUCAUUAGUUAUUGUUUAAGGUUCUUCGCUGAUUCCUAGAUUAUAAUUUUCUGAUUUUUUUGUUUAAAAGACGACAUAGUGUUUGAUUGAGAAAAAUAUUUAUCCAUGACAUUUUUAUUACAGCCUCAAAAGUUUGAGGGUUUGAGCCAUUUGUUGAUAUCAUAAUAGUUUAUGACAUUUUAAUUACAAUUUAAAUAGUUUAGGAAUUUGAUUAAUAUUAUCAAUAAUUGAUGAAAUUUUUGAGACGGCAUAGUAUAACAUGAGCAUUCGAAUGAUAUUUAUGCUCUUUGAAAUAUCUCUCAUCACAUCAAUUUUGUUUCAAAAAUAAAAUAAAAUCGAACGAUAUAGUUCGUAUCAACUUCACCGGAGACGGUGUUGGGCAGGCUAGAUGAAUCAUCAAUUUCCGAAAAUAAAAUUUACUCAAACGGAUUGUCAUCCCAUCAGAUUGGUAAUUGGUUCCUUCACACUUUAUUACCUUUACUUUUCUUUUUUCUUUUUUUCAAAAAAGCUUAAAACGACUCUAUUCUUUAAUAUUCAUUUUAGUUUCUUACUUGUAUAUUGUACGAAUUCACGCAACUUAUAUGAUACAAUAAUAUUGCUGUGGCUUAAAAGAAACAAAAGACUUGUGUAGCUCAUGCAAUUGGUUCCUUGAUCACAAAACUAGGCUGAUUUAUGGUUUAACUUUCAAGACUGGUAACGGGUUCUUCAAAUCUCUCACUUUUUUUUAGUUGACAUUAAUUAAGCUCGACCACAUACAGUCACUAAAGAUUACUCCCCCUAAGUAUGACUCCUUACUUUAGCACGGUUAUUAAGAAGAAGAGUGAUUAAAGGAGAAAAAUCAUAGUAAAAAAUAAAACCCCACAACUUUUUGUUAGAUAAAGAGAUUUCCUUUUUUGGAAAUGACCAUUUGUAAUGGGACAGCCCAAAAUGGCAAACGGUUCAUGUUAAAUGGAACGGAGGAAGUAUAAUACAACACGAUGUUUAAGAACUCAACUAAACCAACUGAGUUUUGUGACUCGAUUAUAGUAAAGCAUGAAGUUCAAGAUUAUCAAUUUACAUAUCAUUCUUAUGAUGAAUCAGAAAAAAAANAUGGAUCUAAGCUCUCAUCUAAUCCUUGAUCAAAUUCCAGUAAUGUCUCAUAACUUCAACAAACACUGUGUUCAGCAAACUGAUACGCAUGCCAGGGAAGUUCCAUUUCAUUACAAGCAAUACGAUACCAAAUUUACGAAGUGAAGAGGGUGAAACAAAGAUAUAGAUACGAUACAAACACCUAAAGUUUCAUUAGAGUGUUGUGAGAGGAGCAGCAGUAAAAACAGAUGCUUAGCAUACAAAAGACCAUACAUAAAUUUAACUUAACUGGACAGACAUUAUAUAUAUGCGCGACUAUUUCACCAUCAUCUCUAGUAUCUAGUUGGCUUCUAUAUGGUAACUCUUUACUUGUGAAACCGCUUGAGUUGAACAGCAAUAUACAGGUAAAUCUACUAUUAUAUUAAGAAAAACUGCAGGAAACUUACUUCCUGCUUUACACUGGCACAAGAAGACCAGUUUAAAUUAUCAUCAGUUUCCUUCAUGUUUCACCUUUGGCCGGUAUGCAAAAACCUGUACAUAUAGAAGUCAAAGUUUUUACAAAGCAUGUCACUCAGAAUUGACUUAUUAGAUUGGAAUUUUAGGUAUUUUGAUAGUUUCCAAAUCCUAUUUGCAGUGUAUGUUGUAUGCAAAUCAAUACAGUCACUAGAACAAUUACCAAUUUGCUCACUAAAUGGCAAAGCUAUCUUCUACUCGGAAACUUGAUUCCCAGUAACAGUGUAACACCAAGGCGAAAAGCAAGACAAAAGAGUAAAACAGAGAUAGCAAGAAAGACAAUUCAUAGACUGUUCUAUCGGGGAAUUGGAUAAUUGUAAAGCUUUCUGCAUGAGACGAGGAUGUGUCUUACCAGAUGGUGCUGAGUAAACCUGGCAUUAAUUUCCUCCAGGGUUUGCUGCUCAUCCAACAAAUGCAACUCAUUCUGGCUAGGAUCUAAGGCACCGGAUUCUUUUGGUUUUGGGAGAAUAGCCGAAUUGUUUACAGGAUGAAAAUCUUUUAUUAUUAGCAUCUCAAUUUCACUAGCUUCCAAGGAUGUCUGCAUAGCAACAUACUGCAGGAGAUGCAGUUUUGAAACUAUUCAGAAUCUGUGUUUAGAUCCGAAAUAAAAGAUAAAGAAUGAGUCAAUGAGUCCAAACCUGGCAUAAGUGUCUGACUGAUGAUGUGGGGCUGCAGCAAAGGUAAGGUCGCUUCAAGCUGGGUAUCUUCUCCUCGUGCAAUGAGACAAUCAUGAGACUAAUUUUCAACUGAAAAGUAGUUAAGAAGAAGUCAUAAGUUCCUCUGAUUAAGACACUAGAAGCGAAUAUGCAAGCUCCAACCAAAAAAAAAGUUCAAAAUUUGAAGAUUUAAUUUCCAAGAUCAAUGAGAUAAAGCAUGUAGUAUCUAUUACCACUUCAUCGCUUUCAUGUAAAGAUUUGAGACGAUUGGUCAGCUUUGACAACCGGUUACCCCUAGUAACUCUACCAUUGGUCCAAUUCAGGCCACCAUGUCGGGUAUUACUGCGAAUGCCACCUCUUCCCCAGGCAAGAAGUUCUGUACUGCCAAGAGGUGUAGAAGAUGCACCAAGUAUUCCCCUGGUUGCUUCUGAAUCAUUAGCAUCAUCUGCACUAGCUCCUGGAGAUGGCUGUGAUGUCCGAGCUCCUCCCCAUCUCUUGUAUCUUUUUGUUUUGGCUUCAGAGUGCUCGUCAGUUGAUGACGAGUCUUUGCUCUCAUCAUGCCCAUUAAUACCUUCCUCUUCGUCAGAUCCGUGGCGUUCAGCACCACGGUUUCUCCUACCCCUCAAAUUUCGAUAAUUGCCCUGCCUCCUGACAAAUGUUGCCGAUGUAGCUCUUGUUGUUCGUUUCUUUCCCAGAGCUUCAGCUUGACGACGGAAAGUCUGGGCAAUUGAAGCUUGGAUCUGUUACAAAGGAGAAAGUUUAAGCAAAUUUCAAUUUUGCUCCAAGCAAUUCAGAGUAAAAAAUGCAUUGUAAGGCAACAUCAUGAGGCAUCCACAUGAUGCAGACGACCACUAUAGAAGGUUUAUUCACUUUUCCAUUGAUCACUUCAUAAAAAAGACAAGCCACAGAUUAUUCCACAUUGGACCUCACAGCCCAUUGAAUUAAUGAUGUAUUUGUAACAUAAAUGAGCUAAACGCCUUCAUCCAUGAAUGCUUGAAGUCUGAGACUAAAACCUUGAUCUGUUCACCUGCUUAUUGCGAACUCUCUCCUCUUCAUGGAAAGCCAAUUCCUGCUGUGAAUUGAAACAGUUGGUGAUAAAGCAAAAGCAAAUUUUACAUGUUCCACAAGAAGAGUAUAAAUUUUUCUUCCAUUACCUCUUCCUCGUACUUAUCAAUGUCUGGAUAAAGAGCAGCAAUCAGGGCAUCAUAAUUUGGAUCAUCUCUUAGAGAACGUCGACUAGCACAAUGAGUGCGGCAAGCAGGACAUUCGUUGUUACUGCAGAGAGAUCAACAUUAUACAAAAUUGCAAGAACUCUUUCAUGGUAUCAGAUGAAAAGAAGCACAAAAAAGUACCCAAGUCGCAUGGAUUUGUCAAUGCACUCUCUGCAAAAGCGAUGUAAGCAUUCCAUGACUGUUCUUGUCUUCCUAAUGAUGCCUGUCAAUGAAAAGUUUUAAACAAACUACACCAUGGACAAGUUGUAACGAACAGAUCUUAGAUUAUCUCUACUAAGCUCACUAGUAACGAAAAAAGAGGCAUUAUGCACAAUAACUAAUGAUCAAUAAGAAGUUGAAAAUCUGCAUGCUUGUUCUUAACCAUUUUGUGUAUUCCUGAAGCUCUAUCAGAUAGGUUGGAUAACUAGCAAUGUGUAGUUCUGUUGAAAAGCUUACAAAAACGAAAAAAAAAAAAACGAAGUCUCACUUAAAACUUAAGUAUAAGGUCAGUUUCCAGCAUACAACAGCUCAUGAGAUGCUCUUGAAAAUUACUGUCAACUCCAAUAAGCAUUCCAUCAAAUCAAUAAAUAGCAAAAAACUAUGCAUGAGAUUUUUCUUUAAAUCUUUUUCUCCUCUUUUUGUUUUGGAUUAAUUAUCAUACUCUUCUUUACAUAAACUUAAAUGAAGCAUACUACACAUCUACAACGACAUAGUUGAAGUUGACACGAACCUUACGUAAAAUAAUUACAUGCAACUGAGAGAUUGUUUUGCAAGAACUGACCUGGCUGAAGGUAAUAUUAAAAGAAUGCAUAACAACUGUGAUGCCAUAUACAAUGAUGUGUGUAGGUACUUAUACUCGCGUAAUAAAGAAACCUUAUAGGUAAUAGAAAUGUUUUGACCUCACACAUGGAGAGGAGUUUGGUGCUAGUAAACUGCGUGCAUAACUUGGAGAAAAAUAUUCCAAAUAAUCACAUGUCGCUGCUGUAAUUACCUAUGAGCACUCAAAUACAGUUGUAUAUUUGAACCAAAUUAAACUCGAAGAUUUCACUAACUUCGAACAUUUCAGGCAUCACAACUGGACAGAACCUCAAUAAAGCAGAGAAAACUGCAACUUUCUGUUGCAGAACAAUGUUUCUCACUUAAAUCUGAGACAUUAAAAUUGAGAUCACAUACCUAAGCAUAUUGGACACUGGACUUCCUUCCGUACUUCAGCUAGUUUCACGACUAUAAAUCUGAGGUUCAACAGCAUAACAUUUAGAGAGAUUCUUUGACAAUAAUAUAUCACAUACCACAAGUGCUGGAUCUUUGCACCAAGACUGCGUGCAAUCUCAAAAUAAGAAUUAUAGUCAUAACAUGGCCAUUUAGAAAGUCAACUGUUACUAUGUAGCUAAAAUUCAAGGUGAAUAGCAAAACAAUAAGAAGCGCACGGAGGCCGACAUUAACCAGCCACAUAAUGUUGGGAACCAUACACAAAAAUUCACUAUAGUAAAAGGAAAACACUAAUCAUCUCCACACAAUUUCCAUAAACAUAAGCACUAACAUGAAAGCAGCAAGCUAUAGACGAUAGCAAUCCCCUAGAAAUUAGCUUAAAUGGACAAAGAUCAUGCUGCUGGAACACCAAGGCACAAUUACCCUUUCCGAUUUAAACAUCCUCGGAACUCAACCACUACAUAAAUAUCCUAAACUCGCAUUACCUCCAAGCAGAUCAUGCAUGAUUUCACGUGCCAUGUUCAAUCAAGCAAAAGAAAAAUCACAUCGCAGUAGCCAAAACCAAAAUCAAGGCUCAACAAACAUCGAAAAUAAUGAAAAACGAGGAAACUAGAAGAAGAACCCCAAAGAUCCUCUUCAACAAGACCUACGUUAGGACACAAUCCAAAGCAGGUAGAUCUCAAGCUACAACCGCACAUCUAACACACCAAACACAUCUCUCGAAAUCCACACGGAAAAAUCGUAAUGUCACACAGACAUGUAUGCCUCAGCGCUCAUGCGUGAUUGUGCGCGCACAUGUAUAAAAGUCACACGCAUAAAGAGAUACAGAUACAUUACUCGUCUUUCUCUCCGCCGCUGGAGUAGGAGCUGCUGUCGGAAUCUGAGAACCAAACACAAGACACCGAAAUAAGCUACCAAACAACAAACAACAAGGAAAUCGGAAACAGAAAAUGCUGAAUAAAACUCGAAUUCAGCGUAUCGAAUAUAAUGCAUGUCCGUUGUCGUGAACACACAGAGACACGACCAAGCGCGCACCUGAGGCGUCUUCAGGUUGUUCGUGAUUGUGAUUCUCGCUGCCUUGCUGCGAAUCGUCGCCUUUCUCUGCAUCGGGAGGCGGCGAAGGCGACGGCGACGGCGGAGGAGUGCUGCUGUCGCGCGGCCGUUUCUGCGCUGGCAUUAGGUCGCCGAGGUGACGGCGGAGCUCGGCGGCGGCGGCGAAGUCAAUGAAGAGAAGGACACAAUUUUGAGUGUAGAUUCGUUCUUCUUAGUAGAAAUAGAAUGCAUCAGUUUAUGUAUAUGAGGAGCAUUCUGUUCUACCUGUGAGAAUUGGGGUUCUUCGCCUCCGGUUCGAUCCUGUCCGGUUCCUUACAAUUUUAGUAAAGGUUGCAAGAGACCAGCCCAUUUUCACAUGAUUGGUCUAUCCGUGUUACGUCUCUUUUUUUUUCUUCGUCAAUUAAAACAUGUUAUCGCCAAUUUUAAGACAAAAUUUGUAAUGCAAAAGUUUUUAUUNUUUUUUAUAAUUAGAUUUUUACUUUUUAGUAGGACUUUAAGUUUAGGGUGUGCAAAAUUUUUCAUACCACAAUCCAAAAUUCAAAUUAAAUUUUCAGAAUAAAAUUUGCACAUUAUUUUGAAGGAUUUUUUUUGUAAAGGGUGCCUGAAUUAUCUUAUACUAGUACUCCCUCCGUACCGCUUCAAAUGUCUCCUUUUUUUGGGGGCACGGAAAUUAAGAAAUGUGUAUAAAGUAUAUAAAGUGGGUUGGUGGAAAUUGUUUAAAUACUCCCUCCGUCCCGCUAUUUAAGUCUCGUUACUUUUCGGCACGGAGAUUAAGAAGAAGCAAAUUAGGUGAAUAAGGAGUGUGGUCCACAUAUUUAAGUAUUGUGAUUAGGGAAUAACUAAUUAUUUCUAUUUUAUUUUAUUAAUAUCAAAAAUUCUUAAUUUUUUCUUAUUAAUUUAAUUUUAAUAACCUAUAAUUAAAUUAAUUAUUCCUUAAAAUUCGAAAUAUACCAAAAUCUGCAAUUUCCAAAAAAGCUAAAAAAAUCUGCAUUUACGAAAAAUACUUCAAUCAAUGUGCAUUUCAAAAAUACAAAAUCUACAAUUCAAAAUCAAUGUGUUCUUCAAAAUCAAUGUGUUCUUCAAUUUGCAAAAUCAAUGUGUUCUUCAAAAGUAAUUUUGAAUCCAAAAUCUACAAUUCUAGAUUCAAAAAUACAGAAUUCAAAAUUUGCAAUUCAAAAUCUCCAACUUCAAGCUUUAAUAAACAUUUCCAGAAAUCUGCAACUUCAAGCUUCAACCCAUUUCACCAAUCCAUUCUAUUUGAACACAUCAGAAAUCGAAGAUAGGUUCCAAAGCGAAACAGUUCUUAAAGAGGGGGAACCGCGGGAUAUGGCCUUGAGACCAAGAUCUGUCAGCCCACGAGUAGAAGCACUUCCUCGGAUGGAAAGCUUUCCCAGACCUCCACGACUUGCAGUCCCAACAGCUAUGGAAGCAAGUCUCACAUCAGUUGCCUUUUUCCCCUCCAAGCAUCUAGAGAGAAAUCCGUUAGAUUCUUCUUCAUCGGGCCUAAUUCCAUCCACACCAUCAAAUUCACACUUCCCCUUAAGAGAGAGAGCAGGGAGAAAGAGAUCUCGAUAGAGAGAGAGAAUGGGGUUACCUGAGACAGAGGGCGGCGGUGCGACGGCAACGGUGGUGGCGGGACUCACCAAAGGGGCGAAAAUUCGAAGAGAAGCAGGGAACCCUAGAAAUUGGGGUAAGAGAAAAGCAAGGUAGGAGGGAAAAGAAGAGGCGGCGUGGGUGGAGGCGGCAGGGGGUGGCGCGAUGGUGGAGGUGGGAGGGCGGUGGAGGUGGCAAGAUGGUGGAGGUGGGAGGUGGGAGGGCGGCGGAUUGGUGAAGAAAAGAGAGAGGAAAGAGAAUGUGGAGAGAGAAAGAAAAUUAGGGGUUAAUUAGUGUGAUAAUUAGUGAUCUCAUUUAAUGUUAAGCAUCCCCUUAUUAUUUUCUUUUUAGAAAACGGGACAUUAUCGGUGGGACAACCCAAAAAGGAAUACGAGACAUGAAUAGCGGGACAGAGGGAGUAUUAAAUAUAAAGAGAGAGUGUAUUGCCAAAAAAGGAAAUGAAACAUUUAGAGUGGGACAACCCAAAAUAGAAAAUGAAACAUUUGGAGUGGGACGGAGGGAAUAUUUUUUAUUUUUGCAUCUGGUUAUUUAAAACGUCUGUCACUAAUUAAAUAUGUGAUGUAAUGCAACGAGUAAUGAAAAAAAAAAUUGGUGUUCAAAAUAAGUAAACAUUUACUAUUUAGAAAUUCACGACACAUAAUAUUACAACGGAACUUUUUGAAAAAUAAUAAGGAUGUAUCUUAUAGUAUUUCAUUAAGGGGUGAGCUACCGUGAGAACACAUCUUAAAAUAAGAAUAAGAAUAAUUUUGAAUGUAUGAAUUUUAUGUAGAACACGUAUAAAUUCGCUAUAUAAAUGUGUGAAUUGUGAAAAAUAAAUUUUUGCUAUCUUUAAAAUUUGAACUUAGGACCAUAUAUUCAUCCAAUAGGGUUACUAAUCAACAGUAGAUCUUGAUAAUCUAAGAAUCGAAAUAAUUUUUAUUUUAUAUCUUAAGAAGUGCACUUAUUUUAACACUCAAUUUCAUUAAUAUCGAUAUAUACGUAGUAGUAGUAGUACCAAGUUAGAUGGUGCAAGUUAAGGAGAGUCGGAUCAUUUUUGCCUACGUAUUCUUCCUUGUUUUAAUCAAUAUAUGUAAUAAGAUGUGUGUGUAUUGGAAAAAUGUAUUUCGUUCAGUUAUCCUAGUUUGGUAAUGCCAUGUCGCGGAAUGAAAAGCUACAUCAAUAUCCAAUCUAUGGAUGUUGUAUUCUAGGGGUUUCCGAUACCGCCUUCCUAAAAAUAAGAUAAGCUUCUUCUCUAAAAAAAAAAGAUAAGCUUCAAAUUGAUGUGUUGCAUCCUUAAAGAUUAUAGUCAUCUCCAAAGCCACAUUACUCAUCACAAGCUCAUGUUUUUAUCCGCAUGAGGAAUUUUAUAGUGUUAAUAGGUUAAAAUGCCUAUCUUUAUAUUUUUUAAUUAAAAAUAUUUAUUUUUAUAAAAAAAUUGAUUUUAUGUUCAAAUUAAAACAAAAAGUCAUUUUUUUUGGGAUAUUGAUGGCUUUACACCAUUUUUUGUGUAAAGCGUUGACACUUUUCUAACACAAGUACAAUUGUAUAAGAAAAAAAUAAAUUAUGUCGGAAGGUUGCCGUUCGGACAGCAACAUACUUUUUCAACUAGCAAACUACUUUUUCUUGUAGUAAAUUAAAAUUUUCAAUCGAAAAAGUAGUUUGUCAGUAGGAAAAGUAGGUUUCUACACAAACGACAACCUCACUAAGUAGGUGGCAAUUCAGAAGUCUGGAAGGAGUUGAUCCUUUGGAUGGGUAAGCAAGCCGUUUUCCAUCUUAAGGCGAAGCCUCACUUUAACGCCUUUGUUAACCUUGGGAAAAAGGAAGACGUCAAGUUCCUUACCGCUGUUUGGUGUUGCGUUGUUUGGUGUACCUGGAAGAAGAAAAACGAAUGCAUCUUCAAUCAAGGUUCUUGGACUAAGGAGAGAAUGGUUGCUGAAAUCAAGACUAGGAUCUGGGGUUGGAGCUUGGCUUUCAAUCUGAAUCUGCCCAACUCAGAUUUUCGCAGAUGGAAUGCAGCUGUUAACCUUCAUGGUUAGUCUUGGUUUAGUGGCUCUUUUGAUGUCCUCGGCUAUUGUAAUCCUCGCUCUUUUUGUUUCUUGCGGGCUGGCCCGUGCUCGGUACUCCUUGUACCAUUCCUUUUAAUAAAAAAUUUUCCUUAUCAAAAAAAAAAAACUAAGUAGGUUGCUGCCCGUACCACAACCUACUUUUCCGAAACAAACUAUAUUUGUUUUGCAAGUAUAUUGAUUGAGAUAUUUAGGGUAAUUUAGUCAAUUUGGGCAUAAACACAAUAGAUUUAUAAAAGUGGGCAUUUUCAUGAGUCAAAUGCUGCAUUGAGUUGGCUCAUCAUAUCGACUCAUAUGAAUUAGUUGAGAUAAGUCACUCGUAUGCUGCAUCAGUCGACUCAUCGGCCAAGCUGACUCGAGCCAGACUCAUGCAAUGCACACACCACACAUAAAAAAAUUAUGAGUGAUCAGCCUCAUUGAAUAUGAGUCUGCGCAACAUGACACGUGCCCACGAUCGUGGACACGAUGGGCACGAUCGUGUACACCAUCGUGGGCACGAUGGGCACCAUCGUGGACACGAUGUGGACACGAUGAACACCAUCGUGCCCACGAUCGUGUCCACCAUCGUGUCCAUCAUCAAGAUCGUGGGCACGAUCGUGAUCAUGAUCGUGGGCACGUGUAAUGUUGCGCGAAAAUUAAAGUGGUGGGGACCGUAAAUGGUAUUUUAGUCUUUUAAUUCAUUUUGGUACACAAAAGAGUUGUUUUUAAAGAGGGGCUAAAAAACAUAUCACUUUUAAAAGGUGGUAUUUUUUUUAUAAGUUUCCUCUUCUUUAUUUGGACAUCUCAAUUCAAUAAGUCAUUUUCUAAAAUGAAAAAUCAAUACAUAACAAACACUCUUACUCAACUCAUUAUUUACACAAAACUAGCAUUUGCACUCGUGCAAUGCACGAAAAAUAUUUUUAUAUUUUAUUAUAUAAAAAAUUAAUUAUCAUUUGAUUAUUAUAUAAAAAUUCUAAAUAUAAUUAAAAAUACUAUAAUAUAAGAUAAAUAUAUUUUAGUUUAACAUAAAAAUAAUAAAGAAUAAUUCAUAUUAAUAAAAAUGAUAUUGUGAAAAAAGAAAACAAUAUAAGUUAAAAGACAAUUGAAAAAAAAUAGAUUUAUUCAAAAAAAAGGAGAGAGGAGAGAGAAUUUUCUUAAGUUUUAAUCUUUAAAUAAAUAUAUUUUUUAUAUUUUAAAUCAAAUAUUUACAUAACACAUAUCAAAUUACAAGCUCUUGUCAUGAUCUUUAANAUAUUCAAAUAACAGAGAACAAAUCUCAACCGUUGAUCUUAUCUAAUCUAACGGUUAACAUUUAUUUAUGCCAUGUUCAACGGAUUUUUUUUGUUGAACAUAUAGGGGGUCGAACCCCGGAACCCCCAAAAAUUAAGUAUAAUUUGAUGAACGUUCAACGAAACGACUGAUAUGUUCAGUAUAUAUAAUUUGUUGAACGUGGACGUGUACGUGUUUGUGUUCUUCAUUGAACGCGACCCUAUACUAUAUAGGCAAAGGUUCAAUUGAGAAGGUAUAAAUGUAGUGAGAAGUGAGAAGCAAUGCCAUUCAUUGAUUUAUAUUCAUCCAACGGUUCUAGAUUAGGCUGAAAAUAUGCGUACAAUAUUAUAACAUAAAGGAUAUCAUUAUAAAUGACUAAUUAUCUUAUGCAUUAAUUACCUUAAUCAAAUCGUUUUAUUUUUAGAAAAUUUAUGUGGAAGAUACGUUAUAUUUUUUUAAUAUUCACAAUCCCUUUCUUUACGUUUCUCUGUAUUUCCCUAACUUCAUCUAUUCUUCGAACGAAACUCAUAAAAUAGUAUGGCUGCCAUGGAUUUAUAGAUAAGUUCAUUGACAAUCAAAUAUAUGUUCAUUGUAAUCCAUAUAAGUUCAACAAAACCGACUUAUAUACGAACAUUAUCAUAAAUUAAAGGAACUUGUGAUUUUCGGAUAACACAAUGCCAUUUGCUCGACGAGCACAUAUUUCAAUCCAUAGACAAACAAAUAUAUGUUCAUCAUAAUUCAUAUAAGUUCAAUAAAACCGAAUGAGAGAUAGUGUUCGUCAAGAUGUACCACAAAGUUCAGCAAAAUCGUUGGAUUGAAAUUAUCAUUUAUGGUCUUUAACAUUGUUUCUUUAACAUUUGAACUUAUGGAUCGUAUUGUAAACAGAUUGCAACAAAUUUUGAAGGUGAUUAAUUUCAGGGAUUUUAUAUUCUAUACCAAAUUCGGUACAUUUUGUGUUUACAGAAAUGACCUUCCUAAACGAAAAUGUUAUUAUUGGAGAAUUAAUAAAUCGGACUAUAAUUAAAAGAUCUCUUAAUCUCAGCCAUUGAUUUAAUUUAAUUCUACGAACUAGAUCUCUUCUUCUUUCUUUGUCUAAGGGGCCUUUGCUAUAGAAGCUAACCNUCUCAGCCGUUGAUCUUAUCUAAUCUAACGGUCAGCAUUUAUUUAUGUCAUGUUCAACGGAUUUUUUUGUUGAACAUAUAGGAGGUCGAACCCCGGAACCCCCAAAAAUUAAGUAUAAUUUGAUGAACGUUCAACGAAACGACUGAUAUGUUCAGAAUAUAUAAUUUGAUGAAUGUGACGUUUUCGUGUUCGUGUUCUUCAUUGAACGCGACCCUAUAUAUAUAUGUAUAUAGGGUGCGGUUAUAGUGAGAACCACAAUUAUCGUGAGAACAUAAGAACCAAUAAAAUUACUGCAUCUGCUAUACAAAUUAAUGCAUCCGCUAUUAAAUUUAAUGCAUCCGAAAAUAAUAAAUUUUUGCUCCCUUCAGGAUUCGAACCCAAGAUCUGCAUUCAUCCACCAAGAUGAUGCAUCCACCGUAGAUCUUGAUGAUCGAAUGGUUUAAAAUGGUUCUCUGUUCUAAUUUUAUUUAGUGGUUCUUAUUUGAACCUCUCCCUAUCUAUAUAUAUAUAUAUAUAUAUAUAUAUAUAUAUAUAUAUAUAUAAGAUCAAAUGAGAAAGGACAAAUGUGGUGAGAAUGAAGAAUGAUUGUAUAAGUCAGUAUAUAUGUUGCAUAAAAUGUUUGUAAUUUGCAUAAGUUGCUUGUAAUGACUGCAUAACGAAAUUCAAUUAAUCAGAUAAAAUUUUUCGUUCAUUCCAGAAUUCGAACCCAUGUAAAAAAUUUAUGCAGUAUUUGACUGCAGCUUAUGCAACACUAUAUACUGGCUUAUGCAAUCAUUCUCAGUAUAACUCAUCCAUAUGUGUGUGUGUAUAUAUAUAAUCAUAAUCAUACUUGAUCCACAUUCAAUUCAACGACAACCAUUGAUUUUUAUAUGGUGUGAUCAUUUAUCUUAGAGUGUUGGAGAAAAAAUUGAGUUAUGUGAGAUUAUUUGUUAUAUAUUGACUUUUCGUUUUAGUAAGUGGUCUAUACAUCUAAAUAAUGAAUGUGACCUAUUCAUUGGGACGGAGGGAGAAGAAUUUUCUUUAUUUCUUUUUAUGUUUUUUUUAUUCUCAUUUUUGUCCAUCUGUUAUUCUAAAAAACAUGUGUUUAUGAACCAUCAUGACAGGUGCUUUAAUUUGAUAUAUAUAAUAUAUUAUAUAAAUUAAUUUAAAAUGAGAAAGUUUUAACCAGUUAAAAGUUUUAAAACAAUUUUGUUUUUCUUUGCUCUCUCUUAUUUUAUACAUUUUUUUUGCAUUUAAAAAAUAUAAUAUAUAUAUAUAUAUAUAUAAUUAUUUGUUUUAUAAAAUUCUAUUCUUAUAAGACUUGGUGAGAAAGAAAGACCAAUGAACGAGUAUCUAUUAUUAUUAUUUACUCUGCAAUUUUUGGAUUUUGUUGAUACACAUAACCAAUUACAACAAGUUAUAUUUAAUUAUUUAGAUAUAUUAUAAAUGAGUGGAUAAUUAGCGAGUAUAACUAUAUAGUUUUGGGAUGAGAACAUGAUAUUCUCAAAUCAUUUUUGAAGUCAUAUAUAUUUGACAUAGGUAUGAGCAUAUAAAUUAUAAAUGAGUCCUAACAUUAAUAGGUAUGCCUACAUAUUUUAAUUUUUUUUUAUCUUUCAUUAUUUAGUCUAUUUGAUAUUAAUGUUUACUUUGUAAUGUUGGAUUGUUAUUGUAGAAUAAUCAGUUAGUGUAACAACUUUAACUUCUAAAUUUAACAUAAAUGUAAUUAGCGAGUAUUAUACAUGUAUGAGAUAAGAAUGAAUAGUAAAAUCACUUUUAAUUGGUUUGGGACACGUACAUGUAUAUACAUUUAUUAUUACUAAUGUUACUAAUAUGUUUGGUUUGUUAUUGCGAUGAAUAUUCAAUUGUUGCAACAAUUAUAUUUAUAAUUUCAAAUAGAUUUGAGUAAUUAGUGAAUAAUGCUAUACAUAUUUGAGACCAUAACGAGUAAUAAAAUAACUUUUAAAUUAUAUUUGAGACGAAUAUGAGUAUAUAAAUUUUAGAUGGAUACGAAUGGUUGAGCCAUACUAGCUAGCCUUAUUUUUGUGGUUCAUGCUCCACCACUAUUAAUCAUUCUAGAUGACAUAACUCUAUCUGAGUAUAAAAUUAAUUUUAUUAUAUUUAUUAAUAAAUUAUAACGUGAAGUGACAUUCAUCAAAAUUCGAUAUGCUACACAUUAGUAAUUAUCUACAUGGGUCAUAUUAUAAUAAAAGGUACCAUAAGAUAUGAAUGCCUUUAAUUUUGAUUGCUAACGACCCAUUUCUUUUUCAUUAUUUAAAUUUUGCAUAUAUGGAGUAUAUUUAUAUUUAUAUGAGUAUUUCAUACUUAUUUUCUUUGGUGGUCAGUCAAAAGCAUUGAAAUAUACUCAUGUAUGGUAGAAUGGUAGUAGCUGUAAAGUAGUAUGAUAUAUUAUAUCAUUAGUAAAACGAGUUAUUCUUUUUCUUUUGAAAAUUUAAGAGAAUAAUUUGAACGGGAAAUUCUUAUUUGUAUUGGACUCGAGACAAACUCACAUUCAAAUAUUUCCUCUGAUAUAGAGUACCACCACUGCCAGUCUGCCACAGCUUGUCAAGGACCAAUAUCUACAUAAUAGCAACAUCUUCCUAAGUCAUAUACAUAUCGAAUUAUAAAUGCACAUAAUAUUUCAAGAUUAAGAUUUUAGAUGUGACCAUGCAAGAAAUUAGUGAUCAAUCUAUUUUUAUUAGUAGCUUUAUAGCAGUCUAGAGGAAUAGUGAUUUUUCUUUGUAUAUUAAUUUGAGGGAAAGCUAAAUGGUGAUUAUUGGAUACAACUAGCCUAUAAUUAGCAAAGUGAAAAGCGCGUCAUUCCCUUUCUUUGGCCGCGCAUUGUUGUUUCAAACCCAUAUAAAUAAAUCCCGUCGCCACACACACACACUCACUCCUCUCUCGCUCAUCAAAAAUGACUUGUUGUUCCUUUCUCCUCUUCUUGGCGCUACUGAUGACUUGUUUCCACCUCUCUCUCCAAGAAAACACACUCCAUGGCUCUUUCCCUCUCACUUCAGCUCCCCUGUCGAGGUAUAUGUCCUCUCUUGUAGCGAAGAAAGGCGCGGGGGAGGCGUUCGGGUACAACUACAAGUCAUCCUUCAAGUACUCAAUGGCCCUGAUCGUCUCCCUCCCCAUCGGCACGCCGCCGCAGCCGCAAAAGAUGGUGGUGGACACCGGCAGCCAGCUCUCCUGGAUUCAGUGCCACCGGAAAUCCCCUCGGAAGCAGCCUCCUGCGGCGCCCUUCGAUCCUUCGCUCUCCUCCUCCUUCUCCGUGCUCCCCUGCAACCACCCCCUCUGCAAGCCCCGGAUUCCCGAUUUCAGCCUCCCCACCAGCUGCGACCAGAAUCGGCUCUGCCACUACUCCUACUUCUACGCGGACGGGACGCUGGCCGAGGGCAAUCUGGUGAGAGAGAAAUUCACUUUCUCCGCCUCCCAAACUACCCCUCCCCUGAUCCUCGGCUGCGCCACGGACUCAGGCUCGGGCGAGGCCGAGGGUAUUCUAGGAAUGAACCUCGGGAGGCUGUCCUUCAUUUCCCAGGCCAAGGUGCCCAAAUUCUCCUACUGCGUGCCCCGCCGCGACACGCUCGGCGGUUUCUACCUAGGCCACAACCCCAACUCCCACGCAUUCCAAUACAUUAAACUUUUGACUUUCCCCCAAAGUCAACGCACCCCCAAUUUUGACCCCAUUGCCUACACGGUAGGCCUGGCCGGGAUCAAAAUUGGAGGGAAAAAGUUGAACAUCUCCGCCGCCGCCUUCCGUCCGGACGCCACGGGGUCCGGCCAGACCAUGAUCGACUCUGGCACCCAAUACACUUUCCUAGUGGACAGCGCGUAUGCCAAGGUGAGGGAGGAAGUUGUUAGGCGCGCGGCUCCCAAAUUGAAAAAGGGGUACGUUUAUGGAGGUCCUUAGAUAUGUGCUUCGACGGUGAUGCGCUCCAGAUCGGACGGCUCAUAGGCGACAUGGCUUUCCAGUUCGAUAACGGUGUCGAGAUUUUGAUCAACAAAGAGAGGAUUUUAGAUGAGGUUGGAGGUGGUGUGCAUUGCGUCGCCAUUGGCCGAUCGGAAUCGCUGGGCGUUGCGAGUAAUAUUAUUGGCAAUUUUCAUCAGCAAAAUCUUUGGGUGGAGUUUGAUAUGAAUAAUAGACAAAUAGGAUUUGGAGCGGCUGACUGUAGCAAGUCGGCUUGACCAUCUUCUCAGGAAUUUCAUUUUGUGUAUACUUGUAUAUUAUUGCUGUUACAAAAAAAAUAAAAAUGAAGAAUAAUUUAUUAGAUCAGUUGGGUUCAUAUAUAUGCAUCAUCUUUCAACCCGUGUCACAUAAUAAGAUAAGCUCGAUGCAAACAUAAUAGUUGAGGUCACUCUUUUCAUUUUUCGGAGGAGUUGAUGUCACUCUUUAGAAGUGCAUUUCUUACUUGGCAGCGGUCUCCUUUUUACGAGAUGGAAUUAUAAGGUUUGAAAAUUUGAUGUUUCAAAUUUAUUUUCAUUUCUCACUCUUAUUUUUCAUUUUGAUUUAUUCUGUUAAAAAUGACUCAUUUUUAUAUUCUUUAAAAGUUGUGUACCUAUCACUUUUAUUUGAUUUAUAUAUAUUUUUUAAUUUCUGUAUUAAAAAAUUAAAUUAUCUUUAAUGAGACAGGAGUAAGUUUUAUGUAGUUUUAUUUGAAAAAACAACCCCCACAAACCAUUGCCGUGGUCGGUCAGUAACGAUCUAAUUAUUGCGCCACUUGUAGGAGAGUGUCCACUAUUAGUUCAGUCUUUUAAUGAAGGCCUCAACGUUAAUUCACUGAAUUUCUUCAAAGCACUUUUUAUUCGUAUAUUAGACGAAUACUAUUAAACUUAUUGUUAUGUAUUUGCGAAAAUAAAAUAACCAAUACUUCUUUGUUUGGGUGUCUCAAUCUUGAAUAUCUUUUCAAGUGUCACAUCUCACCUUAAUUCAAGCGACACUUGUUCGAUUCAUAGUAUUAAUGUAUUACACUUUCUGCAUCCCUCUGCAAUAUUUUGUCUUCCACACAUAUUUACAUUGCUAUAUAUAUUUUGUCUUCCACAUAUAUUUUGAUAAUAAAAUGAUUCUGAACUAAAUUCCAAUGUUGUAUUGUUCUCUUGCAAUAAUAUAUAGCUAGCAUCCUAUUUGUUUUACACUUAUAAAUUAUGUGUCAUAAAAAAUUAUUACGUACGUGUCAUGAACUUAGUCUAGCACUAGUAUCCUCUAAUUUAACAAGAGAUUCGAACGUAAUGCAAAAUUCACAUAAAACUUUUAUGAAUUUUAUAAUGAUGAACUAAUUAACUAUAACAAUAAUAUGUACGAAAAUACAUCAAUAUACACAAAGGCUAGAUGUGUUACUCGCCAAAGUUUUUAGAAACGUUUGGAAAACUAUUCACUAUGAGAGAUUAAAUUACAGCUCGACUGACAUAAGACUCAACCUUCUAUGCCUCUAUAAUUUCUCAAAAUUUCAACGGUAGUAAAACGUUGAAAGCUAGAUAACACUAACUCUCUAAGUGUGAACCCCGGCGAACACACUUACUCCCUUACAAUUCAAACACCAACUCACGAAGGAGAUAAACUAACAGAUACUUUGCUACUAACAAGAUUAAAUGCAAAGUAAUAAGAAACAAAACAUACACUCCAAGAAAGAUGUUCUUACUCCCAAAAAACGUGUUGCCCACCAACUGCUUGAAUAAAUGCACGAAAAAGCUAAUCAUACCUGCUUGGAGAAGACUAGCUUAUAUAGAGGUGAAACCCUAAGUUUCCUUUUUGAAUAAGGACUCUUCUUUAAAGCCUUGCAAGCCAAACCAAAAGAUAUACACUGAUCUUCUUUGAAAAAUACUCACAAACAAGGAAAUUAUCUUCAAGAGAAACUCUAAGAAAACUUCGUCAGCAGCGCGGUAUCACUUCUGGUAUCUCAUUAGGUAUCAGAAAUCNNNNNNNNNNNNNNNNNNNNNNNNNNNNNNNNNNNNNNNNNNNNNNNNNNNNNNNNNNNNNNNNNNNNNNNNNNNNNNNNNNNNNNNNNNNNNNNNNNNNNNNNNNNNNNNNUUAAAUGUAGACGAUACAAAAUAAAAAUAUAAUUUAAUUAAUAAAAUACUUUUCCUAUAACCUAUAAAUUGUGAGUUUGAAUCACUUAUGUAGAUAAGUGUGAAUGUGUGUGAGCGGAUAUAUAACUCUUAAAAAUUGACUUAUACGAAGCUCAAAAUAACAAAAUAUUAAAAUCUGUUAGAAAAUAAAUCUUUGAAGAAAACUUAAUAAAGUUGUAUGGUUGGAGGAGUGACAAAUUAAGAUCUUAUGAUUAAGAAUUUUCGCGAUCAUUUCCACCAAUAUUAAUAAGGUCAAAAUAUUAUAUGCACAUGUAUGAUCUUACAAAUUAUUCACUUACUAAUUAAUUAAAAACAUAAUUUUAAUUUUUUUUCUAUUUUAUUAUAUAAAUAUUUAUUAAAAACUCGUGUCUUAUAAAUAUUAAUGGACGCAUAAAGCUUUUUUAGGUGGGUAAGUUUUUUUUUUUUAAAGAGCGGAUUCAAGACUUUUUGAUAGCUUCGUUCGUGAUAACAAUUUGGAGGAGAUCAGAAUGCAAGGCCGGAAGUUUACUUGGAUUAAACCAAAUGGGGCGUGUAAAAGCAAGCUUGACAGGUUUCUCGUGAAUGAAAAAUGGCUGGCAACUUGGGAAGGUGUUUCAAGCAGAGGUCUACAACGAUCGCUUUCGGAUCACUGUCCGAUUUUGCUCACCUCAAAAAAAGAAGAUUGGGGCCCAAGACCGUUUCGAUUUCUAAACGUUUGGGCUACACAUGAUGAGUUUGGUCAGAUCCUUAACAAAGUUUGGACGGCAAACGACUUUAAGGGUUGGAGGUGGUUUGUGGUGAAGGAAAAGUUAAAGAAGCUGAAGGAGGAACUGAAAAUCUGGAAUAAGGAGUCUUUUGGGAGCAUUGAUGGUAAGAUUCAGAGGCUGAAAUCAGAAAUACAAGAGCUGGACCACAAAGAUGAGAAUUAUUCGCUGAACGAGGAAGAGAAUUGUAAGAGGAAUGAGCUACAAGCAAAUCUUGCCAUUCAAAUCAAUGAAAAACAAGGUGUGCUUAAACAGAAGGCCAAACAGAGAUGGAUUAAGGAGGGAGACUUAAACACGAGCUUCUAUCACCGAGCCAUUAUGGGAAGAAGGUUGAGAAAUGAUUUUGCCGGACUCUACUUCGAAAACCGAUGGAUCUCAAAGCCGGAAGAGGUCAAAAGUAAAAUUAGAGACCAUUUUGAAGGUUUCUUUAGGAAGAACACACGGCAACUCCCAGUUCUUCCAAGGAAUUUUUUUAACAGGAAACUUUCAGAAAACGAGAAACGGCGGCUGAUCAGAGAAUUUGAAGUAGAGGAAAUCAAAGAGGCGAUUUGGAGCUGCAGUGGAGACAAAAGUCCGGGACCGGAUGACUUCAACUUUACCUUCUGGAGGAAAGCUUGGGAUACGGUUCAAGGGGAUCUGGUUCAAGUUAUGAAGGAGUUCCAUUCCAACGGAAGACUGCCAAAGGGGGGGAAUGCUUCUUUCAUUGUUUUGAUUCCGAAAAAAGAAGGAGCAGACUCCUUGAAUGAUUUCAGGCCAAUUUCACUGAUCACCAGUUUGUAUAAGAUUUUGGCUAAAAUCUUGGCGGGAAGACUAAAGCAGGUGAUGGGAUCCAUUAUCUCGAAUAGCCAAAGUGCCUUUGUUAAAGGACGUUACAUCCUCGAUGGGGUAGUCAUUCUUAAUGAAUCAAUCAAGGAAGCUAAGAAAAAGAAAUGUGGGAGAACCUUCUUCAAGAUCGAUUUUGCAAAGGCAUACGACUCAGUGGAGUGGGACUUCCUCGACGCCUUGCUUGAUAACUUCAACUUCGAUUGCAAAUGGAGGUUGUGGAUGAAAGGGUGUUUGUCUUCAGCGUCGGCAAAUAUUCUGGUGAACGGGUCGUCUACCAAAGUUUUCAAAAUGGAGAGGGGUUUGAGACAAGGUGAUCCUUUGUCUCCCUUUCUGUUUUUGAUUAUUGCGGAAGGGCUCAAUGCUUUGGUACAAAGAGCAGUUGUUAGAGAUCUGCUGGUCCCUGCCACGAUUGGGAAGGACAAGAUACAACUGGCGUUGCUACAAUAUGCCGAUGAUACGAUUUUUAUAGUGGAUCCAGAGGAAAAGAAUGUUACUGCCUUGAGGAAAAUUUUGCUUUUGUUUCAGUUCUUGUCGGGACUUGCUGUCAACUUUGAAAAGAGCUCAAUUAUGGGAGUGGGGAUGGCCGAAGAGAAGAUUGAGAGGUGGGCGGAGAUGCUUGGGUGCAGAGUGGGUUCUUUCCCCUUUAACUAUCUCGGCUUAAAGGUGGGGGGGCGAGCUUUUAACAGUGUAGAUUGGAGUCGUAUUGUUGAAAAGGUGUCAAAUAAAAUCAACGGUUGGAAGAAGAAUCACACUUCCUUGGCAGGACGUAUAACUCUGAUCAAAUCGGUUCUUCAAGCCAUUCCGGUGUAUCAACUCUCCUUUGCUUCUAUUCCGAAAUGUGUGGUGCGUAAAUUGAACUCAAUGUGUGGAAAAUUUUUGUAGGGAGGGGAAUUUGGGGGAGGGGGUAUCUCUUGGAUUAAAUGGAGUGCACUCUGUUUAAAUAAAUGUGACGGAGGUCUUGGUCUGAAAAAUGUCGAAUGGUUUAACCGAGCGUUAGUGCUUAAGUGGCUUUGGAGAUACUUAGCUGAUGGGGAUACGUUAUGGGCUAAGAUUAUUAGAUCGCUUCACGGUGAGCUGGUUUGGGGGGAAGAGGGGGGCUGUUCGGUGGGAGGGAGAGGAGGGAGAUCAGGAUGGUGGGAGAAUAUUGUUGAAAAGGGAGGGGGAAGGACGGAAUCCGGAAAUAGGUGGUUCUGGGAUAACAUCUCUAGAGAAAUUGGGGAUGGUUUGAACACUUGCUUCUGGGAUGAUGUUUGGGUGGGGAGAGUUCCUCUUAAAUUUAGGUUCCCUAGGCUGUUCCAGCUGAGUGAAAACAAGGCGGGAAAGGUGGGAAAUUUCGGUAAGUGGGAGGGAGGGAGGUGGGUUUGGGAGUUCAGUUGGAGGAGAGAACUUAGAGGGAGGGAGGAGAGUUUGUGCAACCAACUAGGGGAGGUUAUUUCUGUUGUUGUUCCAGAUGCAGGUAAGAAGGAUGGAUGGAAGUGGAGAGCUGCAAAAGACGACAUUUUUUCUACUUCUUCAGCGUAUGAAGCGUUAGCCAAGGAGAACAGAGAGCUGUUGGCGCCCACAGCGGCGGAAGUGGAGAAAGUGUGGAAGGCACCUACAAUCCAUAAAGCGAGGGUAACGGCGUGGCGAAGCUUGAGGAAUCGACUUGCUACAUGUGACAAUCUUAUCAAGAGAAAUAUUCAAAUUGCAGAUGAGGAAAGGUGGUGCAAUAGUUGUGUGAUGGCGGAAGAGUCGGUGGAGGACGUGUUCCUUCAUUGCCCAAAAACGGAACAAGUUUGGAACAUUUUGCAGCAAUGGAUCAAUAUACAAACUGCAAAACCUAAAGGUCUUUCGCAACACUUCGUGUCUUUCAUCAAUGGUGGCAAAGGUAAGAGAUGUCACAAUUUUUUGAAAGCUCUGUGGAUUGGCACGAUCUGGAUUCUUUGGAAAUGUAGGAAUGAAAGUAGGUUCCAAGGGAAGGUCUGGGAGAUUCAAAAAGUUUCACAGGAAAUUAUAGGUAGAAUGUGGAGUUGGAAUUCCAUUUUUCACAUUGUGGAUUCCAAUAUUCCUUUCUCUCUGUGGUGCUCAAAGGACUUCAAACUGGAUUUGUUGUAAUUGGGUACCUCUGGUACCAUCUUUUCUGAUUAUAUAAUUCUCUUUUACUGACCAAAAAAAAAAAACUAUAAUUGAUUCUUUAAAAAUCUAAAAUAUAACCGGGGUGGGCUCUACCUCUCUGCUUGUUGUUUGCCACGUAUAAGACAGACAACACUCAUUUUCUGCUAGCUCAAUCUCCCACCUUUAUCCUUCCUCACAGUUACAUGUUUAAUUUCUUUAAUUAAGUGACUAAGAAGGUUUGGUUAAGAGUCAAAUUUCUUAAUUAUAUAUCGAUAAGGUCUAGUUCAACUAUUCUCAUUUAAAUAUGAAUUGUCUUUUUAAUUUAUUUGAAAAUAGUUUAAUUUAUACUAACUUGAUUAUUGUGCAAAUUAUUAUGAAAUGAUCUUACUAAUUAAUUAUUGUUCUAAUUGUUUAUAAUUUAAUUUAUACUAUAAUAUGUAUCUUUUUUAUCUCCUAAAUUUCUUAAUUAAGUUCCUACAAAUUAAACAAGAGGGUAUUUAUAAGUGAUUACAGCAUACUAUAUAGCAUAAUUCUCUUUAACACAUCAUACCCAGUUUAGUAACAAUUAAACCCCAUGUUGUUGUAGUAUUUUUUUCUGAUAACGUAGUCCAAGAAGAAAAGGACCUUACCAACAAGAAAAUUAGACAAUUUAACUGCCCCACCCUCUCCUAAAAAAAAUCUUACACAACUUACAUCAUUUAGAAAUGGAGAGAUAUCAUUUUAUAUUUUAACAUGUUCAUGAUCGUAACUCAAACGUAUUCAAAAUUAUAUAUUAAUACAUAUAUCAUCCGAUUGUUAACAUUCUAUUUUAUUGGUAAAAAAAAUUACUUUCCUUUCCCCUUGUGACGUUAAUCUGAUAAUUAAUUAUUAAAAUUGAAACCACGACGCCCGACGGGAAUCCCUUAACUUUAAUUCUACAAAAUUUGGCAUGUUAUUAUGAUUUACGUAUAAAAAAUCCCAAUGAAGUUAAUCUUCAUGAAUUAGAGCACAAUCCUCAAUCAGAACAGUCGAACCUCAAACUCGAACUUCUCCAUCUCCUUUACUACGCCAUAGCCAUCCACAAAUUCCCCAAACAAGAUGGCUUUCCAAAUACAAAAUUGUAAUUAUGUGUUUAAUUUGGGGCUCUAAGUUAUUGGUUAAAAUAGUAAAUUAGUAAUUAUUUUUAAUUAUUAUUUUAGAUAAAUGUAUAGUGAGUAAAAUGAAAACUAUGAAUAGAAUUAUUUUUUUAAGGGUUAAUUGCAUCAAAAUACCUGACCUUUUUCCAAAAUUUGGUUUUUUGACAAUCUUUUUAAUUGUAGCAAAAAUUGGAACGAGCUUUCAAUUUAUUGCAAUGUCCGUCCGGGGAAAAUUUUCGGCCAAAUUAAAUAUGAGUUGGCAGUCGGAAUGCCAACGUGGCAUCGGAAAUGCCAAAUCACACCCUCAUCCCCUCCCACGUCACCCCACGUCGCCUCUCUCUCUCUUCCCCUUCCCCUCCCACGUCACCCUCCCCUCUUCCCCUGCACAGUCCUCCUCCUCCACCCCGGCGCCGCCGCAUCUUUUCCAGCCGGCGAACCCUCCCCCUCCUCCAUCGCCACUUCCUCCAGCCGGCGAACAAGCGAGAAAGAUCUCGAGAAGGGCAUCAAAGCGGAGCACUUAUGAACACAAAAACAUAAACACAUUUCAAAUUUAUUUGAAACUCAGAUCUGCGAAUUGCUGCAAAUUGAUUCCCCAACAAAUCCUCCAUCCUCUACAAAUCCUCGCUGCUACAAAUCUUCGAAGAGAGAGAAUGACGUGGGUUUCAACCACCGCCGAGCCUAUCGCCGUCGCCGCUACAAAUCUUCGAAGAGAGAGAAGGCGGAUUGGCGGGCGCCGCUGCUGGAUCUCUGGAUCUCGGCGCGGUACCGCUUGCGGAGCUUCUCCAUCUUGUGGCGGCACUGGACGGAGGUCUUGGGCGGGAGGGCGGGGCACCGCGACGCCACGUCGUCGGCGACCUCCUGCCAGUGGUUGCUGCGGAGGUUGCCGCGGCGAAGGGAGUACCACUUGUCCUUGUAGGCGUCGAUGAGGGCGACAGUCUCCUCGGGACUCCAGCACGGCGGGGGGAGGCUAGCGUGGCGGUGGGGAUGUCGUCGGGGGAGGAUGGGGAGACAGCCGGCGAACAUGGUGGGGAUGAGAUCCGGGGGAAUUAGGGGAACUGGGAAGGGGAUGGAGAAGAGAGAGAGAGAANNNNNNNNNNNNNNNNNNNNNNNNNNNNNNNNNNNNNNNNNNNNNNNNNNNNNNNNNNNNNNNNNNNNNNNNNNNNCAAGCCCACCCCUUUUGAUCAGGGGCACAUAUCAUUGCAACUUGCAAUCAACUAGUAUAAGUCUAUUGUCUAAAAAAAAAAACUAAUGUAAGUCUAUAAUGAUGAUUUGUUUUUAUAAGUUGGGGCAAUAAAUGCACAAAAAUAACUUUAAUAACACCACAUCGAAAGUUUAAAUCAAUAAAUUUUGGGUUAAGAUGCAAAUGCACUCUCAAUAUAGACACUCCUAGAGCCUCGUACUCAAUAUUGGAUCAGUUAAGCUCACGAUGUUCCAAUUUCGGUGCAAUUAAAUCAUCCCCCUAACGCCGUUUAACUCCGUUAAGUAAUUUAUUCAGUGCAAUUAAGCCUUUUCCCCUUUAGAUUGCACCUCUUAAAUUUUGGUGCAAUUAAGCCCUUCCAUCCUUUCUUCGAAAGUUUUCAAAAUUUGCAGAUAUCUCAUCCUUUCAAAUAUACCACUCACCACCACAUUGCUUUCAAGUCUCACUCAUCGAGAACUCUUCCAAUCACUUCACUCCCCAAAUUUCUGCAGAACUUGGAGGAUGGAUAUCCAUCAUAUCCCUUGUUGUAGAACUUGCAUCAUCAUACUAAGACAUUUGUCAACUUGUUGUUUCUCAAUCAAUUCAUCCAGAGCUAUAGCACUACAAAANAAAACGUCUUUUGAUACACCAGAAAAUGCCCCAAUAAUAGAUCUAUUACAACAUUCGACCUUUCUCCACGUUUAAUAUUUGUGUCGUCCUAUCGAGUGUAGCAAUAGCAUUUAGUAGCUAUCUCUACAUGAAAACAUGUCAGAAUAGAGAGAUUAAAAUAUGAUAUUAAAUAUAUAAUACGUCAUUUGCUGGUGUUGGCAUAAAGUGCUUAAUUUGGCAUUUUUUAUUAUAUCGUAUCCACAAUUAUAUAUUUCCACGCCAUUUUAUUAAUUUUCAUGAUAUUUUAUUUAUACAAUAUUGUAAGAAUUAAUUAUUUUAGUGACUUUCACGCCACUUUACAAAAAUACUAAUGAAAACUAAAUAACAUGUCAAAACAAAAUAUUCUAUUAAUUUCCAAAACAAAUAAUUACAAUAGUCAGAACUUCAGGUAAAAAAAAAAAGAAAAAAGAAACUAAACCCAUUGUUACUACUUACUAGAUGAGCUCGUGAAUAACCACUACUAAGUCCUGCCAAAAUACUUAAACACAUAUAUACCUCUACAAGUUUCAAAUUUAAAUCUAACAGCAAUACGCCUCCAAACAUGUAAGUACUAGCUUGAUAACUUCUUCAUCGCACAAAUAAGUAUAGCCAUUGAAGUUGAAUCUCGAUUUGCUGCCAAAUCUCCAUUAAAUGGAUGCUUCCAUGUAUUCAAAUAUAUAGGGAUCUUCGGAAUGAGUUAAAAGAACGGCAUGUCUAGUGUGAACAAAACCAUAGACAGAGAAAGCAAAUGAGAAUACAGUUUUAUAUAAGCACUGAUGGAAUAUAUAACAAAUAUUAAAGUAAAAAAAUCAGACUAAACAACUACUAAACACUCUAUGUUAAGCUCUAAGAUAAAGAGAAAAAUAUCUUAUUAAUGAAAGAAGCUUGUACUUCAUACAGGUGGACUACCAAAAGGAAAGAUGAUCCACAAAACGAACAUGUACCUGCUGAGUCGUUAAUCAUUUUUAUGUGAACUUUAAAUGCACCUCCACCAUUUCUUGAACCUCUGCCAAAAUUUCCAAUAUAAAUGAUCUUUCAGUUUAUAUAAAUGAUCUUUCAAUUUACUAACUUUCAAUAUGACAAAACAAUUAGUAUCAACUAAAAAACCUUUCAUGCACCUGACCAUCUUCUUCAAGAUACAUUCUUUGUAGCAAUCUCGAAUACAGAGUAUGUGUUGAAGGUGGCUAAUGCCUUUCUUAACAUCUCCAUUUGUUACUGAAGAUGAUGUAUCUUUCAUCAAAGUCAAUACUAAACAUCAAGCAACAAAGAACAAUGAGAUAGUGCAAAAAUAAUCUUUUGGUGUUUUCCCAGGUACAUUAAGGUAGGAAUCUUUAUCAGACGUAAAGCCACCACUCAGCAAAACAGAGGUGCACUACUGAGAUAUCAAGAUAGGGAGAACUAACAGACAUUAAGAGUGAAUUACCUUCUUCUUGCAUCAGCAUCAAUCAAAGUAUUAGCUGUUCUCUUUGCAGGUGGCUUGACCUUCUUAGUUCUCUCAUAUUCAGCAUGUUCCCUGGUCAAACCAUCAGAGAUAAAUUUCAUCUGUGAUAGUUUAUAAGUUGCAAAGAACAUUAAUCAAUGUGAGUGUCUAUAAGUAGCUUCACCAUUUAUUUCAUAGGAUUCGGCUGUUUGCUUAACAGCAUUACCUGGAAAGCAAUAUAUCGUAAGAGUAAAAGCAAAGAAACAAAAGCGCUCACUACAUCUGCAAUAUAACUAACUUGCUCCCCAACUUUAACACCCCUUCUCUUCAAGAACAUUAUACAAUAACAGAACAUACAAAUAUCUUUAAUUGCAAAAUUUCUCAUGUAUGUUCACACAACUAAAGAUAUACUAUAAUUUCCACAUCCACAAAUAGAAGAGCUACUCAAACAGGCAAACAAUUAACUGCACAAAAUCAAUUCAAUUCAAUACGCAACAAUAUUCAACAAAAAAUUGUUCUAAAAGAAACAUAUUCAUUACCUUUUUUUAGAGCCAGCAACAAAUAGAUUGGACUCGUUCUUACUCAUCCUGUAAAUCUCAUUCGCCACCUAUAACCACUAGAUUAAACAGAUUGCCAAUCUGACCCAAAUGUUUAAAAAGUUGAAACGAAGAGAAACAGAAUACUAACAAAAAUAAGAAAUCCAGAUUUAAAUAUUGUUCAGUGCAAUUGGAAAUAAUGGAAUUCUCACCCAAUUGAAUUACUCGUUUGGGUGGUUUUGGAGAGCUUUGCCAAUGGCCAUUUCAGGUCGGACGACGGUCGAUAUCACGUUUCUGGGAUAAUUGAGAAGAGACGAGAUGAGACGAAAAACUGCCAAUUUGAUUCCUAGUUCCUCUUUUUUUUUAAUCUGAGGACGGAGAAUGUUUCUUUUUUAUUUACUGUGGGGAGGAUGAUUAGUUUUUAAGUUUUUUUUAGAAUAUAAGAGAAUAGAAAACCUCAAAAUAAAUCUAAGAAAAUCCAAAAAUUAAUACAAUACUAUCCUAAUAUUUUUCCGAGUAUAAGUUUGGUGGGAAAGUUACCGCCUAUUUAUUUCCUUUGGCGUAUAGUAGUAUUCUCUUCUCAUUUUUAAUAUUUUUCGUUAAUUAAUUAUAAAAAGAAUAGGUUCAGCACGAUAAGGAUGGGGUGGGGCGUAAGAUAGUGUCGUUAUUGAGUUUGUAUUACAACAGAUAUCUUAAAAUGUCGUUAAAGCCUUUAAACUAUUUUGUAUUAAAUUGAUCGAAAAAUAUAAUGUCGUGAUAGAAGUAUUAUCUUGACACAUAUGCUGCUUUGUCGUAAAAUGGGUGUUGUAAUAGCCCUUUAUUGUUGUAGUGUAGGUUUCUUGUUUUGGCAUAACUAGUAUUAUACCCGUGCGAUGCACGGUCUACAUUUGUGUAAAAUUUUACAUAUGCUUAUAAAUAAUAUAAAAAUAAUAAAAUAAUACAUUAAAAAUCUCUUAAUUUGAAAAACCACCCGGUAAAUUUUAAUUAUAUCUAUAAUGUUCAUCAUCUCCAUAAACUAAGAAUUUUUAGGCCUAUCGAUGAAUAACCAUUAAUACUAACAAUGACUAAAAAUAUGUCUCUUUAAGUAUCUCUUACUUUUACUAAUCAAUUUUCUGUGCACCCUUUUCAAUAAUUAACAAAAAUAUUUAUUUGGCGUACUUUAAACUCAAAGAAUCCAAAGAAUUACUGUUAAAUCAAAGGAGAAAAUCAAGAAAAUUAUAUAAUUAAAUUAUUCAUAAAUGAUUACAUAAAAAUAAUAAUCAAAUAUUUUUUUCUCAAAAGUCAAACCAAGAAUUACAUAAAAUCAAUGCCCCAAAAUUCUCAGCCCAAUUGCCAACGAUAGUACAAUUAAUAAAAAUAUUGAAUAGCCCAUACGAAUCUUCAAUUUUGAGCCAUUAAUAAAACUAAACAAAUCAAAAGCCCAAACUAAAAUAAAGAAAUUAAUAUUAAAAAUGAAAGAAAUUUAAGAGCCCUUAAAUUGCACUUGCACAGUUGUUGCACUGCUUUUAAAAUUUUAUUUUUUUCUCCCUCUUUUCACUCGUCUCUCUGUCACUCUCAUUCUUCUCUCUGCGACACAGCUGCUCUCUAUCUCUCUCACACACUCUCUCUCGUCUCCAGCCUCUCGGUGCCCCCGCCCUCGCCGGUUUUCCCAACCCCUCGUCUCCCAGUCUCCCUCAUCCCCUCUCUUCUUCUGCGCCACUGGUCUCGCAGACCCGCCCAGCCUCCUCCAUCAUUGGCGCCUGCGUCAGAAGUAGGGGUGAGCAAACCCGAAUCGGACCCGCCGAACCCGCCUGGACCGACGGGUUCGGUCCGGACUGGACCGACCCAUUGUAUAUGUAUGGUCCGGGUCGGGUCUAAUUCUUAGGACCGAUUUUUUUUUGGGUCGGUCCGGGUCGAGAUCCGGUCGAACCCGCCGAACCCGGACCGACCCAUAUCAUUAAAAAUUUAUUAUUUAUUUUAUAUAUUUAAUAUUUAUAAUAGUAUUAAUAAUACUAAAUUUCUAAAACCUAAAGGAGAAAUUAUUUUGAUUUAUGUUUUUUUGUCGUGAUUGUGGAUUGGGAAUGGUGAAACUAUGAUAUUGAUAUGUGUUUGUAUCGUAUUUAUUAUGUUUUAUGUAUGAAAAUUAAGUGCGAAAACAGAAAAAAAAAUAAUUUCGGCUUCGGCGGGUCGGACUCGGACCGAACCGGACCCGUUGCUCGGGUUCGGUCCGGGUCGGCUCUCCACACAUCUCUCUCGCUCCGGCUCUCGGUGCCCCCCUCGCCGGUUUCCAAUCCCUCGUCUCCAGUCUCCCACCCUCUUUCUGCGCACCGGCUCGCAGACCCGCCAGCCCCUCCAUCAUUGGCGCCUAGUCAGAAGCAGUAGCAGUGCUUUGUGUCCAGGACACAGGUAACAAUAUAUAGCCAAAAAAAAAUGCCGCUUCUAUUGUGAUUCUUCUUCACAGUAGCUUCUUCAUACAUUAGACAAAAUACUUUAUGCUUUGCUUUAAUUCGUGGAUAAUGUUAAGAUACAUGAGAUGUACAACUUAAGCAACCCUAAUUUCAUUUCUAAAUCAGCGCCGCUUAUUCAUCUUCUCUCUUUUUUUUGUUUUAAUUCUUGCUGCUUCUCUCUGCGUCUUCUCUUUUUUCGUUGAGCAUCCACUUCUUAUUCUUUCUUCUUGCUGGCAGAAUGUUUCCUUCUUUUUCAUCUCUUUUCUUCAGUUCCUUCUUAUUCUUUUAUCAUGGCAGAAUUGAUUGCUGGUAAAUUUGAGAUGCUCCGAUUAGAAAGUGUGAAUCACUAUCAUAUUUAUAGGCGUGGAGGCCACACAUACUUGUUCUCCAAGAAUAAAUUUCAAUUAUCAAUAAUAAAGAGACCGCAGAUUAACCAAUAAUUUUGCAGCCUAUUAGAACCUCGGUUUGCAGUGAUAUUAUAUAUUCAUUGGUUUUGCUGGUUACGCAUUGAACAAAAAGUUGGAUAAAAACAGGGACUCUAUCGACGGGCAAAUGUUGCUGAUGUGAUGUAUUCAGCUGAGAGAGAGAGGGGAAAUUACAGCUUAAAUUUGCUCAUUACACAAUGAAUGAAGAGAAUUAUUAAUGGACAAUAGUGGGUCUCUUUUGGCUGGAAAAUGACUAAAAUUGUGAUGUACUCAGCUUUUAUAUAUAUAUAGAUAUAGAUUCUAUUGCAAAUGGUAUGCAUUGUUUGUUGUCCGUAAAUGUUGUUUUUUGAAGACAUUAUAUUAGUGUAUUGCAUGAGUUGUCUGUCAUUAUACAUAUUUACAAUUAACAAUAAAGAUGCGUUACUCUUUGAUGAAUAAAUUUAUUAUGAAAAAUGAGGGAUAACAAAAGUUUAUACCUUUAAAUGCCUUUUUCUUUAUUCAUAGAGGGAUAAUAUUAUCCGUCCUUAAAGUGAAAAUAAGAAAGAAAAAAUGAUGAACUUCUCUUUUGUAUAAAAUGUGAGAAAAAAAAUGAGGUAUUUAAAGGCAUAAAUUUUAUUAUCCCUUAUUUUCUUAUGAUAAAUUUAUCCACCAACGUAAACGCACCAUAAAUAGAAAAUGUGAAUUAAUGUAAUAUCCAUUGUUGAGGUAUUAUUGGCGGAGUAAUAGAUAGAUUCGAAUUUCGCAAACUCGGCACCGUGAAAAUGCUGGUGCAGCUACGUCAUCGGCUGCUCAGUCCCAAUUUCUCAUCACUCCGCAACUUCCCAUCUCCAAACCCUCACAAGACUCCACCAUUUUCUGUUUCACUCCGCGCCUCCAUAUCCCAGAAGGCUAACCCCCAAUCCUCCUCCGCCCCCAGUCUCCCAAAACCGGAGGCGGCCUCUGAAGCCUCUCGGUUCGCACGGACCGUGCUAUUUGUGCCGCCUGGAGUCCAGCCGGAUGAAAUCACGGAAGAAAAGGUCCUCCCAGGCUCGAACAUCGUGCUGGGACCCUACGCUGGCGACGCCAAAAUCAAGGAGGUGAAUUUCGUGAAGAGCAGCAGCCGCCCCAAGGAGUGCCCUAGAGACGACCGGCCGGAAUUCGCCAUGCUCGGCCGCUCCAACGUCGGGAAGUCUUCACUUAUUAACUCCUUGGUUCGCAAAAAGGAAGUUGCCCUCACUUCUAAGAAGCCAGGUUUUGAAUUUAUGUGUUGUUUCUUAGUUUGUAUAUGUGAUUUGGGAUGAAAUGUUAAUUCAGUAUGGAUGACUUUUGCAGGGAAGACUCAGUUGAUCAAUCAUUUCUUGGUGAAUAAAAGUUGGUACAUUGUGGAUUUGCCCGGAUACGGGUGAGCUGUUUGUUGCUUUCUGCUUAUCUUUGCUUAGAGGUGUUUGUAUGUUAAAUCAUUAGAGCUUUUUUUUUUUUUGAGAAAAAAUCAUUAGAGCUUUAAUGGUAUGUUGAGAAGUUAGGUUAUUGUAUUUGGCUGCUCAAUCGAAGUUGAGGAGAAAAUACUGAUCCAGAUUGGCUUGUUAUCUGUUGUUAAAUUCUAGCAUAUGCGUCGCAAUGGAAAUUCACAAAUAUGAAUUGGACUUUCUGCAUAUUAUACUGUAAAAAAUUGGAUGAAUUAAGUAGGGUUGGAUGAGUAGGUGUUGUUGAGGAACAGAUUAGAUUUAGGGAAAAUAAUCUUGAUACUGUGGAGUUCAUUGUAUGUGAAAUGAAUUUAGUGUUGAGGGAUACAAGGGAUUGCUUCUAUGUGGCAGCGAUCGUCAUGGUUUACCCGUAGUAUAGUUGUAUCUUGAUGGUAGCUGGUUAAGUUUUAGGAAAUGGGUUGAAUAUAUAACUGCAUAAUUGAGUAAAAUGUGAGAAGUAUCUGUCACUAUUAGGAUGUGUUAUCUGUGGUUGAUAAAUUUAUCAGGGGAAAAUAAGGGAUAACAAAAAAUUCUCUCUUUAAAUACCUCAAUUUCCCCCUCAUUUCCUACAGAAGAGAAUUCCACCCUUUCUCAUUCCUCAUUUUCACUUCAAGAGAGAGAACAUUAUCACACCAAAAAUAGAGGGAUAAUAUUAUCCCUCCUUGAAGUGAAAAUGAGAAAUGGUGAAAUUCUCUUUUGUAGGACACGAGGGAAAAGAAAUGAGGCAUUUAAAGGGAUAAUUUUUUAUUAUCCCACCUUUUACCAUGAUAAAUUUAUCAAUCAAAUAAAACACUCCCUUAGAGUCAAAUGUUACUUUUCUGAAUUUGGCAGUACACUUGUUUCUGAAGUUUUUGUAUUUGAUACUAAAUGUUUUACCAUGAUAUGGAUCAUCAAUUCCCUGAAUUUGGAUGGUUGCCUAGAAACUUACGUUUAUAUGUUCAAUUGCAUAGUAAAUAUACCUCAUUCGGUUUUCCUUGAGGUGCAUGAUGGUUUAGCUAGAGUAAGACUGUUAUCACAUAAGCACAUUGUGUGAUGACGACAGCUCCUUUAAAUUCCCAGACUUGUGAUUAUUGGCUGCCCUUCAACGAUACAUCUUAUUUCACGUGCAGAUUUGCCAACGCCCCGGGGUCUGCUAGAAUGGAUUGGUCGUCAUUUACUAAAGGUUACUUUUUGAAUCGUGAUACCCUGGUCUCUGUUCUCCUUCUGGUUGAUGCAAGUGUUCCGCCUCAGAAAAUUGAUCUUGAUUGUGCAAAUUGGCUUGGACGAAACAAUGUAUGUAACUUUGAUAUGCUCUUGAAUUUUGUGAAUUUUGAAGUGCUAAACUGUGUGUUGAUAUGUUGUUUAUAGAUACCUAUGACUUUUGUUUUCACAAAGUGUGAUAAAACAAAAGGAGGCAAAGCUAAAAGGCCUGAUGAGAACAUCAGAGAUUUUCAACAGCUGAUCAGAGAAAGCUAUCGCGAACACCCUCCAUGGAUCAUGACGAGCAGCGUGACAGGGUUAGGCAGAGAUGAGCUUCUACUGCACAUGUCGCAGCUUAGAAACUAUUGGGAUCAGGAGUAAGGUAUUGGGACCUGCCAUUUUUGUCUCUACUGAAUCUUCAUACGUUGUAAAUUGUUAUGCCACUCUUUUAAACUCCAUUAAGCUGGAAAACUGCUUCACUAAUAUUAGUUGUCAUACAUCUACUUGAGCUGCUGGGUGCCUUUUAUGUUACCAGUGUUUCCAACUCAUGAAUUUUAUCCUGAAAAUGUACUUUGUUAAGGCGAUGGAGAUGUCUCCUUCAAUUGGUAUAUAGAAUAGAUUACAUAUGCCACCUCAAAGAAACAAACGGUAACAACAAUCAACAAGAAACAGCCCUACUCCUUGGAUCUCCAUCCUUAUGCUUUUUGUUUCAUUAGAUCCUUACACAAUUUUUUUGUUUUAAUAAGUUCAUAUACUUUUAUUUUUGAUUUAACCCCAUCCUUAUUAACGAAUCUAGUAAAAAGGAUAAUUUUCCAUUAUCUAUACAACAUGUGAUUAUUUAUUAUUUAAUUAAAUCUCACAUCAUUUACCUAAAAUUACUAUGAAUAAAACCUCAUGACCUCCAAUUCAUACAUGUACAUAAUACCACUGCUCCUCAUACAAAUUCUCUAAGUAGCCCCAAGAAAUGUUUUUUUUUUUUGGUUAACUUUCGGGUUCUUGCCUAAUUUCAUAUAGAUUGUUAUUCACUAAUCAUCGUCAAAUUUAUUAUAUGGUUUCGAUUUAAUAGUAACAUUGCAGAAAAAAUAAAAUUUGAAUUCGAGGUUAUUUGUUUUUUAAUAAUAAUUAUAUGGGGACUCAAUAAAACAAGUAUAAGAAUCUAAGGCUUCAUUUUGCAAGUUUGAAUUCAUAAUCUAGCCAAACCAUUACCAUUAUCCCUUUGAACGGCUUCUUGAAUUGCUGCCUAAGCUAUGAAUCAACGAAGUAUACGAAGCAUAAUCAAGAACUAGGCCCAUUGCAGCACGCAGUUUAGAGACAUCUUCUGUUUUCCUGUAUUUACAGUAGCCUUGUAGAAGGAUGUUAUAGGUGAUGUCGUCAGGCUCCACCCCAAGAUUCAUCAUUGCCGUGAGAAGCAUAUUUGCAUUCUUCAUCUGCCCUACCCUGCAGUAACCAUUGAUAAGCACAUUAUAAGAGACAACAGACGCCGCGAUUCCAUCUCUCUGCAUCUCCCUAAGCAACAUGGACGCCCUCCUAACUUCUCCUCUCUUGCACAACCCAUCCAUUAUCAUUGUAUACGUUCCACAAUCAGCUUUCAGAUCAACUCUCAACAUCUCCCUCAACUAUUUCUCUGCUUCAACAACUCGCCCUUCCCGACACAGACCAGAUAUGAGGGCCGUGUAAACCACACUAUCAAGCGCGAUCUUCUCUUCAAUCAUUCUCUUCUUCAGCUCAAACGCAGUCUCCAAAUCUCCCGCCUUACAACUUCCAUCGAUAAGGGUAGUGUAUGUGACCUUAUCAGGCUUCAAACCCUUCACACUCAUCUCCUCAAUCAGACACCGUGCUUCCUUCAAAUCCCCCUUGUUGCAAAGCACAUUGAUGAUGGCAUUGUAAGUGAUCAAAUCAGGCACCAGCCCUUCAGCCAACAUUUGUCUAUAAACAUCCAUAGCUAAAUCGACCCUCUUGUUCUUGCAAUGCCCAUCUAUCAACGUUGUGAAGGUAACAUAAUUGGGAGACAAGCCAACGUCAAGCAUCUCCUUGAAUAAUUCAUCUGCACAAUCCAUUUUUCUAGCCUUACACAGCCCAUUGAGAAGAACACUAUAAGUGUAAACAUCAGGGCAAACUCCAUUUUCCUGCAUCAAAAUCUUGAGCUUAAACCCUUGCGCCAAAUCUCCCAACCUAACAUAACCAUUCAUUAAAGUAUUGAAACUAACCACACUAGGCCUCAAACCCCAUCUCCCAAUCGAAUCAAAAACCGAUUGAGCGAGCUUCACUUGUCCUGUUUUGCAGAAUUUGUCCAUGAGAAUGUUGAAAAAAUACAAACUUGGACGAUACCCACAUUCCAAUAUCUCUUCAUAAAACCCCCAAACUAAUUUGUAAGACUUGAGCUUCAUCAAAUGUUCGACAACUCUCCUACAAGCAUCAAAGGGCACCCGAAUUUUAUGCUUCUUGGCCAGUCUAAAACACUGUAUAGCAUCAAGAACAAGCCCUGAUGCUAAAUAAGCAGUCAACAAUCCAGAGAAAACAUAAAGAUGGGAUUUUUGAGUAGCUUUGAAUUCAAGAAUUGCUGCGAAAACAUCAGAAGCGGAGUUUCUCCCUUUUCUGGAAACUACGAUUUGGAGCAAGGUUUGGGCCUCUGAGAACAUUUGAUGGGAGCAGAGGAAAUGGAUCAUGGUGCAAUACGAGUGGAGGGUGUGGCGAAAAGUAGAGUUGGCAGGAGUGGAGAACCAUUGGAAGAGGGAGAAGAGAGAGAGUGGGGAGAGAGAGUGUGGAUUGAGGUUGAUGAGAUUGACCAAGUGGUGGGGCUUGAGAGAGGGGAGGAGAUGCUUGAGGGAGGCGUGGAGGGGUUUCGCCGGAGCAUUUUGGAUGGCUUGGGAGAGGGCCGUGAGUAUGGGGUCUGGCUCCUGGAUGGACCAGGCGGUGGGGGAGUGGCGCUGCUGAAUUCUUGAAACGUUCUUGGUCGCCAUGUUCGAAUCAUUUUUUUCCCUAGACUAUACACUGUCGAUUAUUUGGGCCGUCAUUUGGGCUUUAUCACCAAUUGAACCGUCUAAUUUUCAUAG